AGUUAGAAGUCACUAAAUUGAACAUGCAAUCGGUGUGUGAAUAUGCCAAAACCAUGUCGGACUCCAUAGUUUUCUCUGGUCCCCUGCCCGAUCAGACAACUGAUGAGAUGUGUAGCCGUAUCUCAUCAUUCAACCGCUGGCUGUCAAGGUGGUGUGCGUAAAACGGCGUGGGCUUCAUUGAUAAUUGGAAGUCGUUUUGGGGCAAGCCUGGUCUGAUUAGUCGGGACGGCAUUCAUCCCACUCGAGAUGGAGCGGCCCGUUUAUCCAGAAAUCUGGCCAAUUCUAUUAAUCUGAAUCACUGACAACUCAGAGCAGAGCUCAGGGAGCAGGGCCGCAGUCCUGCACACCCCCCUGUAUGCCCCCCUGCACCUCCUUUAGAGCAGCUUCCCAGCCACUGUCACUUAUAUACAGAGACAAGGGAGUAGAGCCGCAGUCUUACACGCCCCUCUGUACUCCCUUUGGAGCAGCCUCCUAGCUACAAUCAGUUUGAUAUAGAGAUCAGGGAGCAGAACUGCAGUCCUACAUGCAUCCUCUGUACUCCCUUCAGAGCAGCUUCCUAGCUACAAUCAGUUUGAUAUAGAGAUCAGGGAGCAUAGCCGCAGUUUUACACAUUCCUCUGCACUUUUUGUUAGAGCAGCCUCCUCAGCUACUGUCACUUUAAUAUAGAGACUCUGUCUGUCCCUCAUCCUCGGCUCUUUAAUUCUAACUGAUCGAUUAACACAGGAGAAAAUAACAAGAACCUUACUAGAAUUAAAACUGCUAACAUUGCUGAACCGAGUAGUAGUAAGAUUAAAUGUGGUCUACUGAACAUAAGGUCUCUAAGUUCCAAAUCUGUGUUAAUAAAUGAACUAAUCUCUGAUCAUCGCAUUGAUUUACUCUCCCUAACCGAAACUUGGCUGCAUCAGGAUGAAUAUGUCAGUUUAAAUGAAUCCACUCCUCCUAGCCACCUCAGCUUUCACAUUCCUCGGGACUCUGGCCGAGGUGGUGGAGUUGCAGCUAUUUACAAUUUCAAGACCAAAACUGAAUUGUAACUCUUUUGAAAGUCUUGUUCUCAGUCUUCCGCAUCCAGCCAUUUAUUUUUAUUUUUUUUGUUGUUGUUGUUGCUUUUCUGUUUGAGGAAAACGGAUGGAAAUUAGCCUUAGCUAACUCCGGCUGGUUUACAAUGAGAAUAGACAUACAUAUUUCUUGUAUCAUGUCUUCUUCUCUUUGUCCAUGAACUGGUACUGUCCUGUCUAAAUAAAUAAAAUACAUAAAUAAAUAAAUACCACUGGUAUUCACUAUAGUUUAUCGCCCUCCCAGCCCAUACUCAGCGUUUUUGUCAGAAUUCUCAGAGUCCUUCGUGCAGACAAAGUCAUUAUCGUUGAUGACUUUAAUAUUCAUGUGGAUGUGGAAAAUGAUAGCCUAAGCAUUUCUUUCUUGUCCUUUCUAGACUCAAUUGGGUUUACACAGUGUGUACAUGGACCUAUGCACUGCUUUAACCACACCCUCGAUCGUGUCCUGGCUUACGGCCUUGAAGCUGAAGCCUUGCCAGUAGGCUUAUUAAAUCCUCUUUUAUCGGAUCACUUUCUAGUAACUUUUGAAUUUGUGCUUUUAGGCUACUCUCCCCAUAACAAAACCGUGCAAACUAGAAGGUUGUCUGAAAAUGCUGUGACUAAGUUCAAGGAGGCAAUUCUGUCUGCUCUUAAUUCUGUGCUUGAGAAGAACUUCGCUGAUAGCUCAUACUUGAACAUCAGUCCCUUGCAACUUGAUCAGUUCGUCGAUGAUACCUCAGGCACAUUGCGAUCAAUUCUUGACUCAGUUGCUCCACUUAGACAGAAAACUCUUACUCUCUUACUCUUUCCCUUUUACAUGCUUCCUCUGGGUAAAAUUACGAGGAAGUACUCGAUUAAUUUCUACUGCUAUGCAGAUGACACCCAGUUAUACUUAUCCAUGAAGCCAGAAGAAGCAAACCAGGUUACCAAAUUAGAAGCUUGUCUCAAAGAUAUAAAAUCCUGGAUGACCAAUAACUUUCAGACAAAACUGAAGUUCUUGUCCUCGGUCCUAAACACCUUAGAGAGGCAUUUUCUAAUAAUAAAGCUACGCUAGAUGGCAUCAGUCUGGCAUCCAGCCCCACUGUGCGAAAUCUAGGAGUUUUAUUUGAUCAGGAUUUGUCCUUUAGCUCCCACAUCCAACAAAUCGGUAGGAUAGCUUUUUUCCACCUGCGCAAUAUCUCAAAAAUUAGACCCAUCCUGUCUCAGAGUGAUGCAGAAAAACUAGUCCAUGCCUUUGUUACCUCUAGGCUGGAUUACUGUAAUUCUCUCUUAUCAGGCUGCUCCAGUGAGUCUUUAAGGACUCUUUAGCUGGUCUAAAAUGCAGCAGCUCGGGUAUUGACUAGAACCAGAAGAAAGGAGCACAUCUCUCCUGUCUUAGCCUCUCUUCAUUGGCUCCGUAUUAAAUCUAGAAUUGAGUUUAAAAUCCUCCUUACGACAUAUAAAGCGCUUAAUGGCCAGGCUCCAUCAUAUCUCAACGAGCUUGUUAUACCUUACUUUCCGUCUCAACCGUUACGCUCACAGUCUGCAGGCCUGCUUGUUGUAUCUAAAAGUAGUAUUGGAGGAAGAGCUUUCAGCUACCAGGCACCUCUCCUCUGGAAUCAUUUACUGCUCGAGGUUUGGGGGGCAGACACCCUCUCAACUUUCAAGAGUAGACUUAAAACAUUUUUCUUUGAUAAAGCUUAUAGUUGGGGCUGAUUUGAACCAGCUCUUAGUUAUGCUGCUAUAGGUUUAGACUGCCGGGGUUAUCUGGCACACUGAGCUAGAGUCUGUCUCUAUCGCUCCUUUCGAUCUUUAUGUCCCAUAUAAGUCACUAACCAGAUUUCUCUCUCUCUGAGUGUCUCUGAGUCUCUUAGCUUCCACUGGACUAAUGCUGCAGACAGCCUGCUGCAGAACUGCCUGACCCCAGCUGCAUCGUCCUUGAUUGUUAACCUUAGGCCCUGAGCUCCUCCAUCUCUUAGGCUCCUCUGGACCAUUGCUGCAGACACGUACGUCAGCCUAACUGACAUCUAUAAAAUAAAACUUGAGUUUUAACUUUAAUUACCUUAAAUUGAUUUAGCAUAGUCCAUAAUUAGUUACUUCAUUAUCCUGUACAUUGAAGUCAUUUUCUCCCAUCAAAUUGCUAACCAGAUCUCUCUGUAUGUCUCUGAGCCCCCCAGUCUCCUAGGUUGCUCUGGACUGAUGGCUGCUGCAGACCUGCCUGACUCGAGCCGCAUCGUCUAUGAUUGUCUGCCUCAGGCCCUGAGCUCCUUCUUCUCUUGGAUUCCUCUGGACUGUUACUGCAGACAUAAACAUCAGCCUCACUGACAAUAACAUAAAACUAGAGUUGACUACUAUUAGGCCUGCUGACUGUAAUCACAUUUAAUUAAUUUAACAUUGUCCAUAAUUACUUAUAUCCUAACCCUGUAAACUGAAUUCAUUUUGUUUCACCAUUACAUGAGCUGUUGUUGUUGUUGCUGUUGUUUCUGCUGUCCCCUGUCUCUCUCUUACCAUCGUUCUCUACUCUCUCUCCCUCCCCCUCCCUCUCUCGCCCUUACUCAUUCUCUCUCUCCUUCCCCUUAUCUUGUUCUUUUUCUCUCCCCCUGCCCUCUCCCCUCUUCUCUCUCUCUUUCUCCUCUCUCUCCCUCCAUCUCUCUACAUUCCUCCCCAACCCAGCAGCGGCAUGGUGGCUGUUUGGCAUGAGUUGGGUCCUGUCCAAGGUUUCUGCCUGUUAAAAGGAAGUUUUUCCUUGCCACUGCUACUCAUGUUAGAUGAGAUGGGCCAAAACCCAUCUUAGGUUGGUUCCUGAUCAUCAAACAAUGAGCGUGGUCUAGACCUGCUUCUGUUCUUUGAAAAGCAUCUUGAGAUGACGACUGUUGUGAAUUGGUGCUAUAUAAAUAAAAUUUAAUUGAUUUGAUUGAUUGAUUGAUUGAUUGAUUGAUUGAUUGAUUGAUUAUUCUCCAGUGCAGAGUCUUUACUUUUAUUUAUACAGCCGCUUUAUUUAAUUUAAGUUUGUUUGUUCAAGGUAUUUAAUAAUGUGUUGAAAGUUUGGACAAAUAAAAGAUAGUUAUCUUGAAAGCCACACGUGUAACGGGGGCCCUUCUCAAAAUGGCCCUCAGGAUUUCAGAGGCGUGGUUCAGACAGGGUUCAGGUCUUAAUGGGUUAAUAGGGGAGCAGAUUUCUUAUGAUGAGAUUAUUGAUGAUUUUGCAUCAAGGAAGGCAGGAAAGGUCAGGUUUUAGUUUUAGUUUGUGUUUCCUGUGAUAGAACAAUCACAUUUUCUUGAGUGUGUUUCUUGAGUGUGUCAAAUUUGUGUGAUUUGCUAUGUAAGAUGAUUAGUCCAUAUUUUAUUUAAUAUUUUAUAUUAUUCUUCUCUUCUCAUACUGUCUUGUUACAUUUGUUGUUAAAUAUUUGCCACUCUUAUGUAUAUAGUGUAUAUUUAUUAUUUAAGCUCUGAUAACCUGUUUUGUGCAGAAUUGCUCCAUUGUCUUUUGCAAUGUUGGAGGUGGAGAAUAUGCAUCUUAAAAAGUGUCUUUGCUGAUGUAAUAACUGGAUUUUCUGGAAGUGUUCUGUAAAUGCUCUAUUGAAGGAUUUGUGCAAUUGAGAAAUCGGGGAGUAAUUUAGUCUAGAACCACCACUGUCUCCAUGCACAAGCCUCAACCAAAAAGCCACUCUAUAGCCACAAAAAAUGCUCAGAACUGUUUUUUAGGUGGUUGAGUUAAAUUUCUGGUUUAUUUUUCAAAACCACAUCCAUGUCUUGGGUAACAUGGAUUUGAUUGUAACCCAAUUUGAGGGUUAUUUGAAUGGGUUAAUAAAUAUGGUUUAUUUUUCUGAGAGUAACCCAAUCAUUUAUAUAUAUAUACUGUAUAUAUUUGGGUAGCUGCCCCAGUAUGUCUUGGGCUGCUGGGUAGCUUAGCGGGUAGAGUAUCCAAUUCCCAACUUGGGGGUUGGGGUCCAAACCACAGACUAUACAGUAUAUCCUACAGUCAGCAAGGAAGCAGACUCUGUCCAUUCUUUAUUCAGUCUAUGGUCCAAACCCGCAUGAGACACAUCUGUAAGAAGCAAAGUAAAUCUACCCGUGUGGGCCCUUAAGCAAGACCCUUAGGGCUAUGGCCUACCUCAUAAACAUGAGUGUGUACCUUUGAAAGCCACACCGGCUCAGAUGGUACAGGUUGUGAAAGCAAAUCUCCCCAAAUGCAUAUAUCAAUUUAACCCAAGAUCAUGAGUCAAAUUAACUUGAAGAUUGGGUUAACUUGACCCUGAAAAGAGUUACUGAGUCAACCCAAAAUUUGGGUUAACUUGAAUAACCCAACAUUCUGGGUCAAAAUAACCCAAUAAGUAGUCGGUCCCUUUUCAAUCCUGGUGCACUCUUAUAACCCAGGGGUUAUAAGAGUGUAUAGGGCCCCAGCCAUAGCACUAGCAAUCAAAUGUCUGUUUUGUGUGUGUGUGUGUGUGUGUGUGUGUGUGUGUGUGUGUGUGUGUGUGUGUGUGUGUGUGUGUGAGAAGGGGGGGGGGGGGGGGGGGUUGAAGGUGUCUCCAAGAUGAAUUUAAUAGUAUACACAGGAACCAUCGACCUGUGUGUACAACUCUACAGUCUCAACUGAUCUCAGCGAGUGACCAAGAUGGAAUGGGAAACAGAUUAUUGACAGUUCUUGCAAUUUUGCCUUAGCAUUUUAGGCAUCACAAACAAACAUGUUAAAAAUGACAGAGCACACAUGACAGCGAAUUUUGCUUAAUAUGAUUUUGAGCUCUUGAGGUCUUAAAUACAAUGGUGUGAAAACUUCAGCCCACUUUACGUCUUGUGUUUUCUCUUUUUGAUUACUGUUAUAAGCUUCACCUACACUCCUUCUCACUGUGUACAUAUCAGUUUGUUUACAGUCUCUGUCCCAAUCUUUAAAUCCACCCUCACAGACUCACUGAAUUUGAUAGUCCAUGAGGGUUAACUCGUAUAGUAUAUGAGGAGGAGUCUCUGGCAGACUUUUUAAGCCCUUUAUGCUAGGGUGGCCAAAAGUCCUGUUUUCCCAGGACAUGUCCUGUUUUCACAUCCUGUCCUGUUUUUUUGGUUUUUUUUGUUUGUUUGUUUGUUUGUUUUUAUAAAGUGAUGAAAAUGUCUUGGUUUUCAUUGUUUUCUAUUGGGCCACGAGAAUGAAGAAAAAACAAAAAAACUAAGGAUAUAGAAUUCUUUUGUUAGUUAGUUUUUGUAAGUUUGUGAAAGCUAUUUUUGUUAAAUUUGGAUUGAGUAUUUUUUUAUUAUUAUUUAUCAUUCUUUUUUUUUCUAUUAAUACAGAAGAAACAUCAUUAAAAACAUAUCGAAUUUCCCCUUGAGGAUAAAUUAAGAUCUUAUAUUAUCUCCUAUCAUUAUUUCAUUUUUUUUCCUUUUAACUUAACUAUACCAACCUUUUUUAUAAUUUUCAUUUUUAUUCAUUUUUCAAAAGGCAUGGUACAUGGCAUAUAUUUCACAAGUUGUUGUUUCCAGAUCACAGAAACAUCAACACAUUUGUAAUACGAUGCGAUACAAAGGUAGACUCCAGUAUUCGAGUCCCAUAAAAUAAAAUAAAUAGUUGCUUACAUCCAGAAAAGAAAAAAAAAAGAGUCUAGUGGAAAGAGAGUUUUGUCACAUCAUAGAACACAAAAAUAUUAUGGGAUCACACAGUCAUUUGUUAUUUUUGAAACUUGUCAUAAUAAAACUUGUUGAGUAACCUCUAAGAAGUCUAUCCGAAUUCAUGUCUUUGGUUAUAGCUAGUAUUUGGUCAUAUCCAUACAGAGGAGGCAUACUUGUAUUUAAAUGUAUGUAGACAUGUAUUUAAAAUUAUAAGGCAUCUUUGAGUAAACUAUGAAUAUCAUUUGAGUAUCUCAUUGUCGAUAAAUUUGUCCUGGUUUUUGGUAAUCAAAAUACACUCACCCUACUCUAUGCACCCCUUCCACACGUGGGCAUCUCUGCUGACUUUGCAUGAGGAAAUUAACCUUAGUUAAUAGCAAAGUGAUGUGGCCACAGGAUUAUCGGGAGGAAGCCGGUGAACGCAAAAGAAAUGCCAUAACACAGGAAUGAUUAAAAAAGAGUUCGUUACUAUAAAUAAGAAAAUUAGCAAAGAUUCAGGAGUAAACCUGGGUCUGGGGUGGAGGGUGCACAAAAGUUAAGUUUGUUAAGUAGAACUUGAAUGCAUCACAUUUAGCCUGAGAGCCACUCACUGCAGAGGAUUGUUUACCUCAGACUUUCAGCUUCACAAAAACAGCUGGAGACCUUGACAUUAAAUUUGUGUGAUUUUGACUUAAGUGCUUCUUGUCUGCUCAGCACAAAGAAGUACACUUAACUCUGUUGAAUUUACAGCACUUUUGUUGAAAGUUGUGCACUCAGUUAGACCUGCAAACAAAAUACAGCUUUAUGAGGAAAGAUCUUCAUAAGGAAAAAAUAGAUUCAAAUUGAUUUUUGACUUAAUUAUAAGAUGUUGUUACCAUACAAUCCUUUUAUCAGUUUUUAGAUAUUUCCUUUUCAGUGGGUUGCUCCUUGUCAAAUGAGACCCUACUGAAAGUAAAGACAAGCCUUAAAGCACAAACCUUGAAGACAGAAGAGCCGAAAAACAGUUAGGCAAGAUGUUCAGAUAUUGUAAAAAUUUUUAUCUCCUAAAUUCUGCUACUGAGCCAUACCACAUAUGGUAUAAUCUGCAAACAGUCUAAUCUUUUUUUUUAAGAGUCAAUGAAUUAGCUUAACCUUGUUUCCAUUAUGCAGUCUCUAUGGUGUCCUGUGCUGCAGGAUGCUGAGACAUUAUUGUCUCUGAAAGUAAAAAAGUGUUAGGUAAUAAUUAGAUACAGGUAACAGAUUUAACAGAGAUCCCUUAAAUAUACUUCUGAAAUUUGACUGAACUUAUACAUCUCUUUCAUAUUAAGACAAAUUUGUGAUUAAAAAAAUCUCUAAAUUAUUUAAAAUCAAAUUGAAUUAAAUAAAUCACAUCACAUGUAAAAAUCCAGUAGAACCUAGAUCUUGUGAGUCAGAUUGAUUCAGAUAAUCAGUCUCAGUCAUACGGAUGUGUUAGUGCUUUCAUGUCACUGGAUUUUUUCUAAUACUGGCUCAAGAGAUUCCUAACAUAAAAAGUGACACCACACUACAGUUGCAGGUUUCAAAGAGUUGGGAUUUCUAUGAAACUCAAAAGAGCAGGGGUAAAAAUCAAACAAAUCCAAACUCAAAGAACUAAAAAGGGACGCAGGUGCUGGCCAAACAGAACAAAAGAGGAACUUGGACAGCACCAGCUCACAUAGGACCCCAACCUUAUUCUACUUAACUACCUAAAGAAAGAAACUAAACCUAGGUAAAAGGAACAAAAACUGAAACAAGGACUACAAGCCACCUGCAACUCUUAAAUAACACAAUAAAUCCUACCAGGUUCAUAUAAAUAUAGGAACCGAAGAAAGAAAAAGAAACUUCAAAGGGUAGGGAGAUGGAUUAUAAUUAUGUCUAUAAUAGGAUGAUCUGACCAGGAUAACAGCCAUAUUGCACAUACACCAGCAGCCAAUUUCACAUUGACUCUUUAUUUUGUCUAUGGGGAUAACUAACUAAUUUGAAGGACUAGCUGGUAACAAAUUUACCACAUACAUAAAGCAGCCAUAAAGUUUGUUUGUGUGCAGGAAGGUGUGUGCCAAGGUACUGAUAAAGGUCAUGAACUUUCACUUCGGCUGUGACCCUAGGUCAUAUCUGAGCUCCUGCAGAGGUUGGGGUGCUGGUCAUGACCUGCAGCUUUAAUUAUUAGUGAAGAGCAGAUUUAUUUCAGCUUUGAGCACAAAACUAAUAUAAAUGUCAAUAUAUACUUUGUAAACCUAACUUCAAAAGUUACCAAAGUGUAAUGAAAAUGUCAAAAUACAUUUAGUUUGGACAGUCAUGGUCGCUUUUAACCCCUAUGGCUUCAUUUUCAGAGAGGCUAUUAUUAUUGACCUGCAACUUUGUAAUCUCUAGAAGCUGUGGUUUUUUAUCCUGAAUAUAUUUUUUAAUUUUGUUUUCAAAGUAACACAUUUAUCAUAUAGGUUGUCUACAGACCAACCAUGCAAGGCUGCUAGUAAAAAGCUUGGGUGACCUCUGGUGGUCAUAGUACAACAGUGCAGCUUCAAAGUCCUCUCUGGCUGAAAGAGUUUACUUUCAGGUCUGGAUUUGAAUUUCCUGGAAUUCCUCCUCUAAUGAGGAAUGAGGAAACAUCUUUUUGCAAGUGUAAAAAGUUUUAGACAACAACAGGCUUCAAACUUUUCAGUUUAGUUAAAAAUGACGCUGGAUCCCUCGAUGUAGAUUAUCCCUUAAUACCCAGGUCUUGGGGGUCCUGCAGUCUAAAAACUGACUCUUUAUUGUUAGACCUUUCCCUUCUAGUCCAGAUUAACAAAAGGUCAUUGUUGUGCACUUUACCCCACUAUGAGUGAGGGCAACUUUUUUUAAGCUGUAGCUAAAAAAUGAUGCUGCAUGGCUUUUGACUCGUUCAAACAGAAGUGAGUAAACAAUACCUGACUUUCACUGGUCAGAAAUUAGUUAGAGUUUAAUGUUUUUACAACCCAGCUUAGCAAGGGGAAAGAGAAGCAACAUAAAACCAGUUUGUUUGUGGUAUUAAGUGUUAUUUAUCACAGAGAAGUAAGACUGAACCAUAAAAGAAAAAGAGUGAGAUAGGGUGCUGUUAGAAUCAACAAAUAAGGAAAACCAAAAUAACCUCUAACCGAGAGUCCACAUCUUUCUAAAACAAAAACCGAAAUAAAACCCUGCAAACUCAUGUCUAACAAAAAUUAAAAACUAACAGCACCCCUAACAUAGUGAGCAUAACAAAAAAUAAUCCUUCAAGUGAAUGUGCAAGUCUCAGUUUUAAACCUGGCCCAUUAAAGACAAGUGCCUCACAGAGAAACAACACGAGUGGAGACACAGCUACAAUUAAGAAAAGCGAAUGAAUGAAAAAUCUCUCCACAGUCCAGCUUCUUAAUACUGUGCACUUCUCCUUGAUUGGUCAGGACUUCUGCUCUGCAUAAAUCAGCUGUGUGCUCUCAAGACUGGUCACCUAGAGGAUGCACCAAUCACUCAACUGCCCUCACACAUUCAUGGCAUACACUCACAUGGAGGGGGAUGUGGCUGCAGCCGCAACAAAUGUUUUUGAAGCCAUGGUCCUGUUAUUUGUGAACUUUCAACCUAGCAAGGUAACCUUGGAGCUACCUCACUCAACUUAGCGCGGUAGCCAGGCAUUUUGCUAAACGGUCCUACGAUGCUGGUUAUCAACCUCAUAAGUGGAUCCAGCUUUGCUAUGAGCGCGUGCACGCAUGUAAGCAUCUGACCAAUCGUGAACAUGGACCAGCCUGGAGCGUCACAGCAGGCUGGAGAGCGAAGGACUGCGGACUUUACAAACAAGGAGCAGGAGACGAUCAUGAGAAAGUACUUAGAAUUCAAAUCUAUCAUAAACCUCAAAAGCGUCGCUGCUGCAAAAGCACGGGAGGAAUGCUAGCAGAAGACUGCCGACAGUCUCAAUGUUUAAGUAUAGUGCACAAAACAUCUUUGAUGCCAUUAUCACCCUAAAAUAGCACUGUUCAACAUGCACUUUUAACAUACACCAGACAUGUCUAAUUCAUUUCCAAAAUGAAUUCAUUCAUUUGUUCAUUCCUAUCGUGUUUACAUUUUUUGUGUGAUAUGUAGGCCAUAUGAGCCUUUCAUAAAGGUGGUCAUCCAGAAAAGUAAGUGGGUCUGUGCAGUCCCUGAAAACCCUCGCACGCCAGAGUGCUCCUCGGACAAUGGGAGCACAGAGGUCUACAGGAUCCGCCAAGAACGAACAAGCCAUUUUUCAAGAGAGCUCAUUGGGGUUUUUAUACUUGGUGAGUUCAAUCUGGAACCUAACCUGCCCCGGAGCAGGUUAGCUGCUCAGCAUAUGUUGCCAUGGAGACUCACCUCGCUAAGAAGUUAACCUGUGUCGUAGAACAGGAAACCCCGAACUCGAAGUUACCUCGCUAAGCAGUAAUCCUGCUUCGUAGAAUAGGCCCCUGUUGUGCACCUGAUCACUUUUUAUUUGUCUCUGGGUCUCAAAUAUUAAUAUCUUUAAUGCACACAAAAGCACACGAAAAAUGACUAAUUUAUCUGUAGUGUCUUGUUUGAUAUUUACAGGAAGAAGAGCGUUAUGUUUGAUGGAGAGUUCGCUCUGACCUGGGAGAAUACUGUUAGUGUGUCACCUGAACCCAGAGGUGUCUAGUUUGUGCCUGUCAUGUGUCAGAACUUUAACAUGUUUGUUGUUAAGUCUAGCUGUUAUCCACCACUGUCAAUGACGAUGAAGAGAUUCGUCCAUCAGUCUUACUCCUUUGUUUUGUCUUCGUGUUGCAAAAAAUUGUUUAUUCUUUGCAACAUAAUUUGCUUAUUCCAGGAUGUCGCAAAGGCUUCAUCUUGGACCCUCAGGGAGUUUUUAACUACCAAUGUCAUGAGCCAGAGUUGAACCAAAAGGAAGAAGGACCCAAAAAUGUAGACUCAAUAAAAGAUUUAUUAAAUGAAAGAAUAAACUUGAAACAACAAAAACUUUCUUCAAAAUGUCCAACUAAAAAAUCCAAGGGCAAAAUCCAACAAGACUCUGGGGAAAAAAAAUACAAGGAGACAAAGGAUUCACACAUAGAGGAUCAUGGUGAACUGGCAGACAUACACACACAAUGAACCAACAAAGAAACAGGGGAAAACAGGGGCUGUUCUCAAAUUUGUCUACUGCAUACUCCUGCUGACCGCAGUAUGCAGUACACACUGCGUACUGAGUACUGUGUUCGAUAAAAGUAUGCAGUAUGACUGCAAGUUGGCUGUUAUUAUGUAGCAUGCUCUGCUCAGUUCAGCUGGUUUCGGGAAUGAAAAGGUACGUCGUACCCUGGUUAAUUGCAAUGACACUGCAGUGUUGCCCAUUCAUUAACGCACUGGAAAAAAUCUUUUAUGUGUUUUGAUUUGAUUUUUUCAGGAUUUUUUAGCCCAAUACCAGCCAUCAAAAUGUGUUCUGUCUAUGCAAUGAGUCAUCGAUCUGGCGGCAUUUGAUUCUCAUCAUGGCGCUGUAAAUAUAGCAAAGUUAUGUUGUCAGUUAUGUUGUCCUCAUUUUCUUCUUAAAUGAAGGAAGUUGCAAUCCUCGCUAAACAUGUUAACUGAUGGCGUCUACCAUAGUUUGACAACUGCAGUGAAAACCCUGUCAUACAAACUCCUGUCUCCUGUCAAUUUAUUUCAAAUACUGUCUUGGCUGCUGAUUGAGUCAGACUGCUUUAAUGUUUACUCACCUUUCUGCAUUAAAGCUUUGGACAUUGUGCAUACCGUACAGUAUAAAAAAUGAGAAGACAGGAAAAUUUCAGGCGAAGAAAAUAGGACAAAAACUGUACGGUAUGAUAACAAAACAGUGAAUUCUUGUCAGUGGUUUGCACACAUAAUGCUGAAAGAAAGAGGAGAAGACAGGCUGUCAGAAGGAGAAAUCUUGGCUGUCCACUUAAAAAAUGAAUUGACUUGACUCACUUGACUUAAGCCCUUUGCUCCUCAGAGGUUGGAAAAUGUUCUCCAUUUCAUUCUGUCUUUAGCGGUUCUUUUGAGAUCUCCCCAGUUAAGCCCGCUCUCUGACAUCUCUGUCGCAACGCUUCUUCUUCAGCUGUUCCUGGGGCAACCUCGUUUCCCUUUUCCUUGGGGGUUCCAUUUCAGGGCUUGUCAGGUGAUGUUUAUUGCAGGUUUUCUGAGGGUGUGGCCUAUCCAGCUCCACUUUCGCUUUCGUAUUUUUCAAGUCAAUGGGCUCUUGACUUGUUCUUUUCCACAGGUCCACAUUACUUACUUUUUUCGCCACCAGAUGUGUAAGAUUUUCCUUAGGCAGGUGUUGGUGAAUGUUUGCAGCCUGUGUGUUGUGUGUUUUGUUGUCCUCCGGAGGUCUGUUUCACGUAGCAGAUUUAAUGGAAACUCAGAGUCUGGCAAUCCUGAAAUCAGGGAAACUCUGAGUUUUCCAUUUCACAAAGGAGGGUCAGUUAAAUCAGAGAGAGAGGGGUAACUCUAACCUGUUUCACAAAGAGAGGUAACUCAACAUCGUGGUGAGUUACCAUUGUAACAGACUCCGUGAACCUAACCUGGGGCCUGUUCUACGAAGCAAGUUCAACCAAGCGAGGUAGCCUUGGAGCUACCUCGCUCAGCUUAGUGCAGUAGCCAGCGGUCUCGCUACACGGUUUUACGACGCUGGUUAUCAACCUCGUAAGUUGAUCCAGCUUUGCCAUGAGCGCGUGCACGCAUGUAAGGCGGAGCCCGCCGCAUCUGACCAAUCGCGAACAUCGACAAGUCUGGAGCGUCAGAGCAGGCAGGAGAGCGAAGGACCGCAGACUUUACAAACGAGGAGCAGGAAGGAGACGAUCAUGAGAAAGUAUGAAGAAUUCAAAGCAAUCACAAACCUCAAAAGCAACACCGUCGCCGCUACAAAAGCACGGAAGGCAGAAAAUUUAUCUUUGAUGCCAUUAUCACCCUGAAAUAGCACUGCGAUCAUCGAACGGGUGUGGGGGGCUCCUUUAACGGAGGCUCCUCUGCCUCCAUUAAAGGUGGGGCUGCUGGGCCACCACCCGUUUUUCUGGCAUCUGCCCUCUUUCUGUUUGCUGAGUGAAAGUCUAAUAUUGAGUGUACUGUGUGUUAGUUUAAUAUAUAUACAUACACAUACUGAGAGUUAGUUUAAUAUUCCUAAUCAUUUAACAGAACAUCAUAAGAGAGUAAAAUUCAUUUUUGAGUGUGAAAAGAGCAUUUUGUAAGGGAUCAAACUGCCACUUAAUACUUACUUGACAAUGUAAAACAUGAUCAAAAUGAGAAAAUGCAGAUGUCUCACCUGUUUGCACAAUGUUUUUAUAUUUCAUUUUCAGCUGCUGCCAAGUGCACUUUUGUCCCGCUGGAUUGCACCUACAUAAAAUAAAUUAAUUGGCUCCAUGCAAGCAGUUUGCCCUGCAACAAUCUGUCAUUGUGAUUGCACAAGACUAGAUUUAAACUUACGCAUUGACGCGAGCAGCAAUUAUAUUGCACUUUCUUUUAAAAACGUGCUGUAAUUUGCCGUUGGCUUGCAUCAGUACUUCCAGCUCCACUUGCAUAAAAAAUGCUGCCCUCCUUCUCCCUGUUUCCAUUGGUUGAUCAAUGAAUCUGGGCUCCACAGAUGCUGGCUGUUUAUGUCUGGCGUGCACGUGCUUAACUCCAGGUCAAACUACUCAGAGUUGCUAAAACUGACUCAAAUCAGGUGUUGUGAAACCAGAAACUCAGAGUUUCCUAUCUCAGAGUAGAUCAACUCAGAGUUAAGGAUUUGACUCAGAGUUUGUUGAACCACCUACGUGAAACGGACCCCAGGUCUCCAAUCCAUACAACAUCGCCUGCUUCACACUGGAGUUGAAGAUGUGCAUUUCGGUGUUUAUGGAGAUGUUCUUUGAGCUCCAUAUCUUCCUGAGCAUGUUAAACACAACUCUAGCUUUGUUAAUUCUGCUCUUUAUGUCAGCAUCUGUCCCUCCAGUGGUGUCCACAAUGCUGCCUAGGUAAGUAAAAGCUUCUAUUUCCUCUAAGGCAGUGUUGUUCAUCAGGAUAGGGUUGAUGGUUUUGGCGUGGAUCUUGAUCACCUGUGUCUUUGCUGUAUUGGGAGUGAACACAAGUUUUAUUGCAGUUUGUGAGAGUCUGUCUGUCUUCUCUUGCAUUUGUGUUUGUGUGUGUGAAAGGAGUACUGUGUCAUCCGCUAAAACAAGAUCAACCAGCUGCUCCCACAUUGUCCACUGAAUUCCAUUUCUCCUCCCCACAAUUGUUUCCUUCAUGGCCCAAUCGACUGCUAGGUGGAACAGGAAUGGUGAAAGUAGACAUCCUUUUGACCUCAAAGCUUUGGGAGAGCUGGUCUGCAUGCAUGACUUUGCAUGAGGUUCUGUUGUAUGAGUUCCUAAUUAGUUUAAUGAUCUUAGUGGGGAUUCCAUAAUGCUCCAUUAGCUGCCAUAGUGUUUCCCGGUCUAAACUGUCAAAAGCUUUCUCAAAGUCAAUGAAGUUGAUGUACAAGGACGUAUUCCAUUCAAUAGACUGUUCGAUGAUGAUGAGUAGUGUUGCAAUGUGGUCUGUGCAUGAGCGGUCUUUCCUGAAACCUGCUUGCUGGUCCCAGAGCCUCUUAUCCACAGCUUCCUGGAGACGGUUGAGAAUGACCCGAUUGAAAAUCUUACUGGGCACAGAAAGUAAGGUGAUCCCCCGGAAGUUGUUGCAUUUCCUUAGGUCACCUUUCUUUGGCAGUUUAACUAUGUGUCCCUCUGCCAAUUCUGUGGGUGUCUUUUCCUAUUCCCAAAUUUACCUAAAUAGGCUAUAGAGCAUAUCUGUGGAUGUGUUUAUGUCCACUUUAAGGGCUUCUGAUGGAAUAUUGUCAGGGCCGGCAGCCUUGCCGGUUUUCUGUUGCUUGAUUGCAGCUUUUAUUUUGGUUUUUGUUGGUCUGUCACACUUGAUUCUUAAUGGUAUUCUGGCCUGAGGAAUAUAAGGCUGUUCUUCUGGUGGUGGCCUAUUCAGAACCUCCUUGAAGUGCUCUACCCAUCUUUCAAGCUGUUCUUCAGGGGUUGAAAGCAAUUGGCCGUUCUUGUCUGUGAUGGGUUUGUUGUUGUGUCGAUACAUCCCAGACAGCUUCCUUGUGAUGUUAUACAAUUCCUUCAUGUUUCUUUGAGAAGCUGCAAGUUCUGCCUCCUUAGCUAACCUCUCUACCUGAGUUCUCUUGUCCCUCCUGAUGUUCUGCCGCACCUCUUUAUGGUACCUGUUGUACUCCUUUUGUGCCAUGGCUCUUCUGCUCUUGUUCAUAUGUUGUUCAUUUUUUUCUCUCCUCUUUUGAAUUAUGUUGAGGGUUUCUGGUGUUAUCCGGUCCUUGUGUUUUUGUGAUCUUCUCCCUAAGGCCCCCUCACAUGUUGAGUUCCAAGCAUCUUUUAAGUGCUUCCAUUCCUCAUCUAUUGUCCAUUCUGCCAUCUCUCUUGACUGUAGCUCUGUGUUUUUCUCUAUGAGUAGAUCCUUAAACUGCUUCACCACUUGAGUAUCACUGAGAUAUUUGGUGUUGUAUUUCGCUCUUUGACCUUUGGCCCAGUGGUGUCUUUUCAACCUUAGCUUGAAUUUCCCUACCACGAGAUGGUGAUCUGAGGCUGCAUCUGCCCCUCUUCUUGUCUUAACGUCCUCCAUGGCUCUUCUGAACUUUUUGCUGAUACAGAUGUGGUCAAUUUGAUUUUCUGUGACAUGAUCUAGUGACAUCCAAGUUGUUUUGUGGAUUGUUUUAUGGGGGAAUACACUACCUCCAAUCACUAGAUUAUUGUUGACACAGGUCUCUGCAAACAUCUUGCCAUUCUUAUUCAUUGUCCCCACGCCAUGUUUACCCAUCACUGCCUCAUAUCCCUCAUUUUGGCCUCCAAUCUUUGCGUUAAAGUCCCCCAUCAGGAUAAUGAGGUCUCUGGCUCCUAUACUAUUUAGUAGGUGGUUUAAACUGUCGUAAAACCUAGCCUUGACCUCAUCAUCUGCAUCAUUGGUAGGUGCAUAACACUGGAUUAUGUGGGCUUUCACUCUUCUGUUGUUGGUGUUGAAGGUUGCAGAGAUGAAGCGAGAAUUGAUGGGUUUCCAUGCAGUUAGAGAAUUUCUAGAGUUCUUUGUCAUCAUGAUGGCCACUCCCUCUGUAUGAAUCGCUCCCUCCUCUUCAUGUCCAUAAAAGAUGAUGGACUGCCCGCUGGCCAAUGUGACCUCUCCCGACUGUGUCAAUCUUGUUUCUGCCAGCCCCAGGACUGAGAGAUUGUAGCGCUCAAUUUCUUUGGCAACAGUUGCAGCCUUGCCAGCUUGGAACAUGGUCCUGAUGUUCCAUGUCCCCAUAGGAGUAGAUUUUCUUGGCAUCAGAAAGUGGGUUGGCCCAACGCCCUUGCGGGUUUGGCUGGGACGGGUCAUAGUCCCGAGUGCUGGGGCAUCUUCCUCGACCAGGAGCAUGAUACGGUUUUUAUUUGUCAGCGUUUCUGUAACUUGGAAUUUUUUUUACAGGAUGGGGACGUUACCCCCCACUCCCAACCCCCACCCUGGAGGACCAGGGACUGCUGUGUCUGCCUCCUCACCCUUGACCUGUCCGGCUUGGUUGAACCUACCGGGGGUAUAAACCCCCACCGGCAUAGCUCUCGGGUUCCCUGGAGUACGCAAGCCUCUCCACCACGACAAGGUGCAGUCCAGGGGCCUCAUGUAUCAAUACUUGCGUGGAACUCAUACCAGAAACGAGCGCACGCAAGGUCCGUCACGCUGAAAAAAAUCCGUAUGUAUCAAUGUGUGCGGGCGCCGAAAUCCACGUGUGUUUCCUUGAUAAAUCCCAAUCAGCGUGGAAUUGAGCGCAGAUGUCGGAGUGACUGGGCCCGUCCCCGUUACGCCCUCCUAUAAAUAUGCAGAUUUGUUUAAAUAGGGUCUCCCUGUCCUCGCACGCAGACAAAAUGACAAGAAAAACUAAAUUAACGGCGUGCAAGGUGGAGGUUCUGGUGGCGGAGGUGGAGGAGCGACAGUGUGUUUUGUUUGGCAGCCUGUCCAGUGGCGUCAGUGCAAAACGUAAACGCUUGGAGUGGGAGAAAGUUUGCGAGAGGGUGAAUGCGGUGGGUUCCGAGACACGCACCCCUGCGAAGAUUAAAAAAAAGUGGUCGGACCUCAAGGUGGAGGUCAAGCGGCGUACAGCUGCCCUCCAGAGGAGUACUGGCCAGACAGGUGGGGGUCCGGGGGAGGAGACCCUCACACCAUUUGAGCAGCGAGUGGUGGCGAUUAUUAUUAUAGGGUAAGUGGCGUGUCACACAAAUGUCCACAUGCUUUGUCAUCCCACUGAGCAAAAGACGUAUAUUAGACGUCUAGUCUAAGUUUAUACUUCAUUUCAACGUCGGGAUUCAGUCUAUUUUUAGACGUGAUUUAUACUUCGCCCUUAACUUCAUUUUUCGAUAACUUUUUAUGCAAUAAACAACUGUAAUGUGCUUAACUGACCUCUAAAUACUGGAUUACAUUACCUAUGAUACCGUGGAGAGAGAUGUAAACGCAACAGAUACACAGAAGCAGGAAUUGAAAUGAACCAAUAUUUUUAUUGUGUCACAGAAAUCAAUGUGUCGGCCAUGUCGCCGGCUUGCAGAACCCCGGCCCGCGGCAGCCCGUCCGCCGGCUCGGAGUCGUCGGCCAGGACCAGCGGCAUUCGGGCCACCCCGGCCCCAGCACCAGCACCAGCACCAGCGCGCUGACAAGCGGUGGAGCGUCCACCAGCCGCGGCGUUUCCGCUGGACCACCCGGACGCAGUGGAAGGGUCCUCGCGGAGGGGGUCCUGCAAUCGCAGGAAGAAAUCAUCAGGGGGAUCACGGGGAUCAACGAGCGGCUGGACCGGCUCGUAAAUGUCCUCGAGUGUCUGGAGGAGAAAAUAAAUUAAUUUGGCUCAUUGAACAACUGUGUAUUCACUUCUUACCCAUUCACACUGUGGCGAUGAGAUUCUCCCGCGCGAGGACGGCGGCCCGGCAGGGAUCAGCUCACAUCCCUCUGUCUGCUGCUGGUUCGUCAUGUGGGGCGACGUGCUGCUCGGCCACGGGGAUGUGGUGCACGCUUGCCACAUAGUGAGUCACCAAACACCGCCACACAGCGUCGCCAAAGUGCAAAUCACAGUCAACGCAAGUUUUUGGCUCAAUGCCAAUUUCUACACCACCUCCUGACUUUGCGUUGAUUAGCGCUGGAACCGACGCUCGUUUCGCGAUGAUAAAUCUGGACGUGUGCGCCGAUUUUGGCGUACGCAAGGUUUUCUUGCGCCGCAAGCGUUGAUACAUGAGGCCCCAGGAGAGGUAAAAAAUGAAUGCUCGGGUGAAAAGUUUCGCUGCUCUCAGCUAUUCCACCAUCUGCCCAGGUGCUUUGCAUUGUUGGUAACAGUAAGCGAUUCAGACUGGUCUGAUGCAUACUGUGAAAAUUUCCCGAAUCAGUAGUUAUCCUGGAAUUUUUUACCUGGUGUAUACUGUGUGCUAAAUUUUGGGCAAAUCAGUAGGGGAGAGUGGGGUAAGUUGAGCCACCCCCUGUUCCUUGGAAAUGGUCAAAGAAAUUAAUCAUGUGACCAAAUAUUUAGGAGAUGGGCAUCAAUUCAUGGAGUCUGUGAAGGUUGGAAGCACAUGGAUGAAGGAGUUAGACAUUUAUUUCCAAAAAAAAUAUCAUUUUUCACUCUUGAAAGUGAAUGUAGUCUGUCAUAUGUUUUAGAAGAAUUGUGUUCCGACCGAAAAAGAUCAUUUUAAAUUUGUUAUAUACAUCAAUUGGUGUAUCUAUGAACUACAAUAUGAGGUCAAAAACCUAGCAUAAAAGUCCACCAUUUUAGCUUAGAGGACUAAUAAAGUCAAAAUAGUAAUUCUGGGGUAAGUUGAGCCUGAGAAACUAAAGGAGUAUGAUGAGAGGAUCAGAGUUUGAGUUCAGAUUGUUGAAAUGUGUUACUUUUUCUAUUCAAAAAUACAGCUGUGAAUGUUCUGAAUCACUUAAAGACAUUCUCAUGUUAAAAUCCUUUUUUUAUAAAACAGCUUUUUAGCAGUUAUAUGCAAUAAUAGACGGCAGUGCGCACAGUUGCAGCGGCCAGGAGCUCACGGAGCUGGCACUACUUAUUUAUUUUGGUGGCACUUAGUAUUAUUUCACAGUUUUCAAAUCUCGUUAAAAUACAGCCGAGAUGAUCUCCUUAUGCUCAACAACAGAGGGCCUCUACAGCUCCCGUCGGCUUUUACCAUGCAAGCCGAGAUCGCCAGAUCACCACCGAGGACUGCCGAAGCUGCGAGCCGGCGGAGGAAACAUGGCGAGCGGCUGCGGAAGAGAGGCAGACACGGGGGAACAUGGGCUAGGCUGCGGGCUAAUCCAUUCAAACCCUCGCUUCCCACCAUCUUCCUCGCGAAAGCACGUUUGAUCCAGAAUAAGAUGGAUGAAAUCCGACUGGAACUAGCAACCAAGAAACACAUCAGGAACUGCUGCAGCUUAAUCUUCACUGAGAGCUGGUUGGAUAACACCACUCCGUCGUCGGCUAUCGAGUUGGAUGGCUACACUGCUCACCGAGCCGACAGGACUGCUGACUCGAGUAAGAAGCUAAGCAGAGGAUUAUUGAUCCACAUCAAUGACUCUUGGUGUACUAACACCACGGUUAUUGAUAUAUACUGCUGUCCCGACAUGGAGUUUAUGCUGCUUAAAUGCAGACCCUUCCGUUUACCGCGAGAACUUUCCUCUGUUUACAUUUGUGCUGUUUACAUCCCCCCGGAUGCAAAUGCAAAGACAGCACUAGCUAUACUGUAGGACACCAUAAACAAUUGCCUGGCAGCACACCCAGACAGUGUCUUUAUCGCAGCGGGGGAUUAUGAUCAUGCUGAUUUAAAGUCUGUGCUUCACUCGUGCACCAUAAUGUGAAGUGCGCUACCAGAGGGAGCAACACAUUAGAUCAGGUCUACACCAACAUAGCUAAAGCCUAUAGAGCCCAGGCAUACCCCCACCUGGGUCUCUCUGAUCAUGUUUCGCUCCUACUGCACCCUCGUUAUACACCUAAAAUCAGAUCCAACAGGCCCGAAGUCAGGUCUGUCAGGACUUGGCCUGGGGAUUUCUAUUUCUAAGCUCCAGGACUACUUUGAUUCCACAGACUGGUACAUUUUCAGGGACCAAGGAGAGCUGACGCGUGGGUCACUGAAUAGUUUCGCAGACUCAGUCCUAUAUUAUAUCAACUUCUGUGUGGAUGCGGUCACACACUUAAAGCAGGUCCUUGUCUUUCCUAAUAACAAACCCUGGAUGACACCUAAAUUAAAAUCUCUGGUACGAGCCAGAAAUGUGGCGCUUAGAUCAGAGGACACUAAUGCUUACAGUGCAGCGAGGUCAGCCCUUAGGAAAAGGGGUCAGAACAGCCAAGCUGGCAUAUAGAGCCCAUAUUGAAGCCCACUUCCACAGCUCCUCAAGCCCCCGUCAGGUGUGGGAGGGGGUCAGGGCAUUAUCGGACUACAAGGGAAAAACAGCCCCCCCUGUCAAUGGCAGCACACCCCUAGCAGAGGAACUAAAUACAUUCUAUGCGCGCUUUGACAGGGACAACAAGGAGCCAGUGUCGCCCCCCCUCCCCUCUGACAGUACCACCAUAGUCCUGAGCACCCAUGAGGUCAGGCUUGGCUUAUGUGGCAUCAACCCCAGGAAAGCUGCGGGUCCGGAUGGAGUCCAGGGACGGGUGCUCAAGGACUGUGCAGCUGAGUUGCCCCUGUCCUCACUACCAUCUUUAACCUGUCUCUGGGCUCAUGCUGGGUCCCUGCAUGUCUCAAGGCAGCAACAAUCAUCCCGGUCCCCAAGAACCCGAAUGUCACAGGCCUGAAUGACUACAGGCCUGUGGCACUCACUCCUAUUGUUGCCAAAUGUUUUGAGAGACUGGUCAUCAAACACAUUAAAGCUGCUAUACCACCAUCACUGGACCCAAACCAGUUUGCCUACCGGAGGAACCAGUCAACAGAGGAUGCUAUCGCCCUCGUGUUACACUCUCUUCUGGAACACCUGGAGAAGAAGAACACAUACGGGAGACUGCUCUUCAUUGACUUCAGCUCUGCGUUUAACACCAUCCUGCCGAACAAACUCCACAGCAAAUUGCAUGAACAUGGACUGAACACCACAUUAUGCAACUGGAUCCUGGACUUCCUUACAAACCGCACUCAAUAUGUCAGAAUCGGCAAGCACAUCUCCCCCACCCUGCCCAUCAGCACUGGGGUCCCCCAGGGUUGUGUGCUUAGUCCACUACUUUUCACACUUUUCACCCAUGACUGUUAUUCAUUCUCCCCAUCUACCAUUAUAGUUAAAUUUGCAGACGACACAACAGUACUUGGCCUCACCAAGGACAAUGAAGAGACCUCAUACAGGAGGGAGGUGGACAGAUUGGUGGCAUGGUACCGCGAGCACAACCUGAUUCUGAAUGUCAUCAAGACCAAGGAAAUGAUCUUUGACUUCCGCAGGUCUGUGCGAAAGUACUCCCCACUCCUCAUCGACAUCAGGAGGUGGAGAGGGUCUCGUGCUUUAAGUUUCUGGGUGUGACUGUGGCUGACAACCUGUCCUGGAGCGCUAACAUCCAGUCUGCCCUUGGCAAGACACAGCAGUGUCUGUUCUUUCUGAGGAAGCUCAAAUGGGCAAACCUAUCACGGGAGCUGCUGACCAACUUUAACCACUGCGCGGUGGAGAGCGUGCUGACGUACGGACUACUGGUGUGGUUCUCCAGCUGCACCAGAGCGGAGAAGGAGGCCAUCGAGAGAGAUGUCUCAGCUGCGGGGAGGAUCAUCGUGACCAGCCUCCCGGAGAUCUCCUCGGUCUUCGACUGCCGCUGCCUACGCCGUGUCCAAAACAUCAUCCGGGACCAAUUCCACCCAGCACACCACAUUUCCGAUUGCUGCCCUCUGGUAGGAGAUACGACUGUUGGACAGCCUGUAUCCAACAGCUGUCAGGCUGCUGAAUGCCCAACCUGUCUCCCAUGCUCCCAACUCCUCCCAACAGAAACACUAGGCAAAAUACACAAAGAAAAUACUCUCAAAUAACAAAACCAGGAAAAAACUAAAUUUACAGACCACAUCAUGACAACCACCUGCAGUAACAUAAAAACUCCCCGCUCAUCCUGCUCCUAUGAGAUUUGCUUGGGUCCAGCAGGACCUGCAUCCUGAUGCAGUCCUCCUCUGGAGGAUUUUAGGUUUGCUGGGUCUGAAUUUUUUAAAUCAUCAUCGAACACUUUGAAUGAAAGGUGUCCUCCAAACCAGCUAGCUGUCGUUGUGUUUUUAUGUUUUAUGUUAUCUUUAAUUUUUUUUUAAUUGCUUUGUAUCACUGUUCUCCCUGAUUGUCUAUUUAUUUUUUAAAUGACUACCUGUAUGAUGCUAAGUGACUCUGGGCCUGAUCUGCUGAGAUCCCAAAUAACGAGCGCUUAACUGCAUGUGUAAACUAAAAGAUGCAUGUGCUAUUAGUGGGCAUGUUGCAGGUGAUUUACUAUGUUUGUGUGCACAAUUGAUAACAGGUGCAAAAAUUGUGUGGAUCGCCCUAUUGAAAUGAGGAUUUUGUUUUUGCUAUACCAGCUGUCACCAUGGAGAGUCUGAGAGAGCAGAGUGGCCAUAAAGAAAGUUUGAAGCCAUGGAGUUGGAGGUUGGGGGGGGGGGGGGGGGGGGCUGUGAAAAGGUUACAAAACUGGAAGAUCUGCUGAUUAAAUAAAAAAGAAGACGGCAAGAUAUCCACAGAGGAACAAAGGAAAACCUUAAAAACUUUCCUUCCUUAAAACCUCUGAUCAGGCCCUUUGUUUGGUCGAGGUCUAUGUUUGACACAGUUAUUAUUAUUAUUAUUAUUUUUACCUAGAAAAGGUGUCACAUCACUGGUAUUAGAGCCUCCAUACUCCAUUCACAAAAACAGAAAUCUGACCCCACAGUACGAGAGUCCCUGCUCUAACUACUACCUUUAUUUGUUUGUUUUUCUGUUGAUGGGUUUUCAUUUGUUGCUUGUCUAUUUUAUGGUGAGUUCAUACUGUGCUUGUGUUACACACAGUUUGUGCAUCAACAAUUUUUUUUCCCAGAAUAAAUGGAUAAAGAUGUUAAAUUCAAACCCCAGACUUUACAAAUGGGGGUCCAAAAGCUUAAAACAUUUUCUUAUUUUCAGUAUUAUCCAUCAGUGUCAUGUAAUCUGAGUAAAAGAGAGAUUUGACACAGCAGUUGACUGCACACACACACACACACACACACACACACACACACACACACGAACAAAACAGGAAACUCGCAGACACGUAUGAAGCUCAUCAGGCAGUGUGUUUAUUAACCACUAGAGAGCAGAGCUGUUCAUCUUAUACAUCACUUCAGUUUGGAUUUAAAACAUGAGAAAAAGCAGAAAUGGAUUCAGUUCAGAUCAUUGUGUUCACGCUGUUUUAUGCUGCACAGUCAAAAACAAAAUAUGAGAAAUGAGAGUUGUCGAGCUCGUUUACAUGCAAAUCUUUUUAAUAUAAAACACAUAAAACAGAGUGAAUGCACGAUUCAAAAGAAAAACAGAAAAGCUUUGUCAGUCCUCCAGUUUCCAGCAAUGAAUUAUUAGACCUUGUAUAAAGACUUUUACACGAGAUUAUGAAACAAGUUUACUAUAAGCAGCUUUUAAGGUUUAUCUAUUUUUAUUUAUUUAUUUAUUUUAACAUCAAAUACCUCCAGCCUAUGACACUGAUCCAAAACACACAGGAACAAGUUAAGGUCUAACAGUGUAAAAGAUAAAACAAACUUUAAAUAACAACAACAAAUACAAAUAAAAGUUACACCUCAAAUUCUCUAAAAGUUGAUGUUGAAUAUGAAUAUUGAAGCCUGCAUUCAAUAUAAAAAAAUAAAAAAAUAUUGUUUUAUGAAAAUGAUCUGCUCAUUUUUUAAAUUUGAAAAGUUUCGAUGUAGACAUCUUUAUUAUUGUUUUUUUUAAAUGAUGAUAUAUUAUUUUGUUGGUCCCCUAUUCAGCCAGAACAGUCCUGACCCAUUGAGGUGUGGACUCCACUAGACCUCCGAACAUGUGCUGUGGUAUCUGGCACCAAAAUGUUAGCAGCAGAUCCUCUAAGUCUUGUAUGUUGUGGGUCCAAGGAUUGGACUUGUUUGUCCAGCACAUCCCGCAGAUGCUUGUUUGGAUUGAGAUGUAUCAGGGAUAUUUGAAGGCCAAGUCAACUCCUCAAAAUCAUUGUUGAGCUCCUGAAACGCUUCUUAUCUAAAUCCAAAAUAGACAUAUUCUGCACACAGAGCAGGGGCUUAUUCUACGAAGCAGGAUUACUGCUUCGUGAGGUAACUUCAAGGUUCAAGUUUGGUGUUUCCUGUUCUACGAUGCAGGUUCACUUCUUAGCAAGGUGAGUCUCCAUGGCAACGUACGCUGAACGGCUAACCUGCUCCGGGGCAGGUAAGGAUCCAGAUUGAACUCACAGAGUAUAAAAACCCCGCCCACUGACCAAUGAGCUGUCUCGAAAAAUGGCUUGUCCGUUUUUGGAGGAUCCUAUAGACCUCGGUGCUCGCAUAGUCCGAGGAGCACUCCAGCGCGCGAGAGUUUUUAGGGACCGCACAGACCCACUUACUUUUCCGGAUGACCACCUUUAUGAAAGGCUCAUAUGGCCUACAUAUCACGCAAAAAAUGUAAACAUGAUAGAAAUGAACAAAUGAAUUCAUUUUGGAAAUGAAUUAGACAUGUCUGAUGCAUGUUAGAAGUGCAUGUUAAACAGCGCUAUUUUAGGGUGAAAAUGGCAUCAAAGAUUUUUUGCACACUAUACUUGAGACUGUCUGCAAUUUUCUGCCAGCAUUCCUUCCGUGCUUUUGCAGCAGCAAUGGUGUUGCCUUUGAGGUUUAUGAUUGAUUUGAACGCUUCAUACUUUCUCAUGAUCGUCUCCUGCUCCUCGUUUGUAAAGUCCGCGGUCCUUCGCUCUCUGGUCUGCUCUGACGAUCCAGACUGGUCCAUGUUCAUGAUUGGUCAGAUGCGGCAGGCUCCGCCUUACAUGCGUGCACGCGCUCAUAGCAAAGCUGGAUCCACUUACAAGGUUGAUAACUAGCGUCGUAAGACCGUUUAGCGAGACCGCUAGCUACCGCGCUAAGUUGAACUUGCUUCGUAGAGUAGGCCCCAGGUAUCACAGCUAUGCACCAAGGCUACGUUCACACUGCAGGUAAUGAUGCACAAUUCAGAUUUUUUGUUAAAUCUGUUCUUUUUGUGCGGUCAUUCACAUUGCAAUAACGAAUGCCGCACCUAAUGUGGAAUGCGUCUGUGAAGUGACCCGCAUGCACACAAAGCACAAAUUGCUUUCCACGCCUGUUUGUGUUGUCAAACAAUGGUGAUGUUUGUCGCAUAUUGAUGACGUAUAGGUCGGAUGAAUGGACCUGAGCAUCCACACUGCAGUCACAUCGGAUACAUAUCCAAUUUAUAUUCAUAUACAAAAGAGGCCUGGGUCGGAUUUGAAAAAGCUGAAUUACAUUGUUUACACUUAAACGAAAAAAUCAGAUAUGUGUCACAUAUGGUUAAAAAAUCAGAAUUGACCUGCAUUGUGAACAUAGCCUAAAUUAUGCAAACCAUUUAUUUUUUGUUUGUUUUUAACCUCUUUCUUGAAAGUCUUAUAAGUCUUAAAAAAAAAGGGUACACAGUACAAUCUUAUAAAAAGCAAAUAAAAUCCAUAAAAGACAAUAAAAUGAAAUCAACCUCCUACUGAGUGUUAAAAGCCAAGGAGAAGAGGUGGGUCUUAAGAUGGGAUUUAAAAACAGACAGAGAGGAGGCCUGUCUGAUAUGCUGAGGCAGGUUAUUCCAGAGUUUAGGAGCUGCAACAGCAAAGGCAUGAUCCCCUCUGAGCUUCCGCUUUGUUUUAGGCUCUCUCAGGAGCAGCUGAUCAGCUGACCUGAGAGACCGGGACUGAGUGUAAAAAUGUAGAAGCUCAGAGAGGUAUGGCGGGGCAAGACUGUUGAGGGAUUUAAAAGCAAAUAAAAGAAUUUUAAAAUGAACCCUAAAAUGUAUAGGCAGCCACUACAGCGUUCUGCACCAACUGGAGCUGAGAGAUGGCCGACGCACUAACCCCCAAAUAUAAUGCAUUGCAGUAAUCCAGCUGAGUGGUAACAAAGGCAUGGAUUGCCGUCUCAAAAUGCUGCCUAGAGAGAAUUGGUUUUAUUUUACCUAGUCCCAGAGGUUCCACCAAAAAACACCACCUCUGUUUUAUUGUCAUUAAAAUUUAAAAAAUAUAUUUUUAUAUAUGUAUACUCCAGGUCCUCCUGUCUGAUUAGUUACAAAGAAGCUCACAUUAGAGCAGUAAACAUACUUAGUGUUACCAUUAAGUCACCAUUUUUCCAGACAGAAAUAAAUGAUCUACCAGACCUGCCCUGCAUGUAGAGAUUAAUUAAUCCAAACCUGGAUCAAAGGUUAAUGUUUCUGUUCCUCUGUGUUAUCAUGUGUGAGGCUACAUGAAUGUAGGAAUGUUCAUGCUAAUAUCCAGCUGUAAACAUUAAUGGGGUGUGAAAUUAGCAUGCUACAUCCUUGUUCCUCCAUCCUUCAUGCCUGACUUAACUCCUCACGGGUGCUCAGCACUCCUCAGACCUGUUGUUCUUCCUGCCUGUGCUCUGUGACAUGUCCUCCAUCAGACCUUUUUAACAGGAAACAAACUGAACAUACAUCAUUUCAAACCAGUUUGUCAAAAUGAGUCCUUCAUAGUUCAAGUCUGCUUGAAUGAGGAAAGAAAUGUCAAAUGUGCACUUUGAUGAGAAGUACAACAGAUGAGCCAGAAGGUGUUCAAGUUGUCUGUAAAUUACAGCAGGUUUGGAGUUAAGUUGUGCCGAGAGGAAGCUGGUGGGAACCUGUCUCUACAAUCUUUCUUAAACUUGUAUUUUGUGUGAACUCGUUCAAUGAACGAACUCCCUAUCAGCACCGCUGUGUCACUCACUCAUGUACUGCACUGGCAGGAUGAAGCUAUGACUGAUACGAUGAACAAAUCUUUUGAACGAAUCAUUGUAUGAACAGAUUCUAAAGAUUCAGUACAGUCAAACGAACUGUUCUUCCCAUCACUAAUACUGACCGGACUGACAUCCAAUGUCCUUAUGUCUGUUGUGAAACUUACGUUUAGUCCAUUCUUGUUGAUCAAACAGUGGACAUGUGUGGCAACCAUAUCAUAGAGGGCAGAGAGGGACAAAUUUGAGAAGAAGCGAUGAUUUGGGAAGUGUGUAAGGUGGCUCCAAUUGUGCUAUUAACUUGUAAAAACCUGGGGUUAUCGACUACAGUAAAAGGCCAAUUGUCCAGCGCUAUAAAUUCCAUCACUUUUUCGUUAAUGACUUUAGCCUUUUCCCUGUCUUUUGCAAAGUUUUUACAGGUUUCACAGGUUACAGGUUGUUUUACCCUUAGCAGCGCUAGUUGCAUCCACAGCAGCUUUGUAUUCUUUCAAUACUACUGCGCCAAAAAUGAUGACUUUUCAGAUGUGCUAUCAGAUUUGUUAGAGCUUGAAGCUUCCUUUCCUCCUCUCGAAAUCCCUGCAACUUGUUUUUGCAUACAGCGAUGCUGCUGUUAUCUGCUGCCACCAAGAAAAACGUCCACACUGGUGUAGACGUGCUAGCUCAGGUGAUGUGCUAUUAGUGCUCAUUCAUUGUCAGUCAGGCAGUGAGGGGGCCAAGCUUGGGUCCUUCUGGGGCAUGGUAGACAACAAAACCAGCGCUACACAGCAUGUUUUGGGGCUACUCAGCUUAUAAAAAUUUUUGCCAUUGUCAUUAAUCUAUCGGAUCAAUUUAUCCAAUUUAAUUUACCUUUCAGACUGAUUAAUAUAAAAUCAGCUGAUGUGUUAACAGCCUGAUAAGUAUCGUGCAUCCUUAGUUGGACUACAUAUGUUCCUACUCCUCAUUUUGGCCCGGUAAUCCAAUGACUACCUGCAUCCCUGUUGGGUCUAAAACCUGCAACAAAUGACUCAAACACAAAGAAGAGAAAGACAAUGGUAUUAGAUUUCUUACUCGCGAGGAGAACGGACAGAGAUACGUUCAGUUACAAUCUCCAACUGCUCUGAAGCAUAUCUUGUCGUCUCCUCUCUUUUUAUUAUCCUUCGGGUGGUCCCUAGUUACAAAACGCUGCAUGCACUAAAGGGUGGGGAAACAGUCUUGCAGCAGCGUGGUACCUUACAUCACUCAUAAUCAUUAACAAGCAGACAAUCUGUGGGGGUAAGGUGACCUUGUUGACAUUUCACAAUCUCCUUCUUAUGGUUGGAACGGUUCCUCCUCUACUAUUGCUCCCACGUCUCACAGCGGAGGUUACAAAACACAUACCUGCUAAUUGGAGAAACAAGGUCAGAGAAGUUAGAAAACACUCAUGAGUACUUUCUCAUGUGCUGUGUAACAAGAAGGUAAAGCAGUUCAUAGUUGUAAGAAACUUUUCCAUUUGGAAUUUGAGUAAGACUAUUGAUAAUUUCUAUAUACAUUUAUACACAUUAUUCUGACAAUCCCUUACUUGUAUCAUUCAGUGCUUUGUAUCCCUCGAAUCCAUGCAACCUGUGCUAGAAAAAUCAUUGAGUUCACAAACUGUAUAAUUUAUGUUAACACAGUAGUGCCAUAAAUAUUACACAACAACACAAGGUUUUUUUUAGCUUAUAUUUCGCUUGUUUUGUCUUCUGUGUGGAGUUCUACACUGGUUGUGAAACAAUUUUUUUUCUAGUUUAAAUAAUUUAUAAAAGACCAGAGAAAACAGCAACCCUGCAGCAGCCUGCAGGAGUUCCUUUUUUUUGUAAGAGUUAAAAAUAAUCUGAGUCCCUCAGAUGUUGUAGAGAAAUAAUUUAUCUGGCUUUUUUUCAAAAGACGUUUAGACUGUUACACAUUAUAGUCAAACAUUUGAAUGCUUAUGAUGGGUCAGAUUUAUGAUGAGUAAUUUUCAUGUACAAACUGUCUCAAUAAGUCAAAAACUUUCUGACUGUGCAACAGUAGAUGCUCUGCAACAUGUUGGGAACAGCACACUGAGGGCUCUAUUUUCGUUCGCGCCGGUGAGGCAGCGGAGGGCGGCGAGCCCCGCGCAGUUGUAUUUUCGUCUGGCGUGUAAGGCGAGUUUGGUAUUUUCGUGGAGACUGAGUCGCACGGAGGCGAGCCGAGAUCCGCCAAGCUGGGCGUGGUGGCGUGGCAGGGGGAGGUGUUGACAGAAUCAGCUGUCAACACCUAUAUCUGAUCUGAUGAGCGCGUUUGGCACGCGUUUGGCACGCGUUUGGGCACACAACCUGACUGAAUCAAUACAGCUGAAACUGCAUCAAAUUAAAUUAAAUAUCUAGUAAAUAAACACACAUGAUGAAGUUAACAAGAUAUGUAAUGUGUCUCCCUCCUUUUCUUUCUUCCUCUUAUUUCUCGCACAGCUCGACCUGGACACGUCUCCGUGUCCUCUGUCCGUCUUGCUGCAGCUGCUGCGGCUGAACAGAUGAUUUGUUUCAGUGCUCAGAUGCGUUAUCUACUUUAAGCCGACAUACGGAUAUUAUAAUAUUCAGUUUUGUGGGCCACAUUUAUACAUUUUAUAUGCCAACAUCUAUGAAAGAAAGAGCCAGGCCACGGAGCGCGAUGUGUCAUUUACGCACAGAUGGUUCCGAUUUUAAUGCCAUUUUUGGAGUUUAUGUUGUGAUCUGUGCGCUAAACCCACCUUUGUCACGUGAGGUUUGAAUAUAUGCAACUUUAUGUGAGUGUCUUUUUUGUGGAAAAGGGUGUUUGUCUUACCAGUGGGUCCAACAUUACGCACACCAAAUCUAUCUGUGCUCAGAUGAGAGAGUGUGGAGGACACUUGUUGAGCAGCUGCCCUCUGUCGCCAUCGUGUGGCAUAACUGUCUUCAGACAUCUCUUGAUCUCUUUGACUACUUCAUGAAAAUAGUAAUACGCCUCGCCGGUGGCGGAUUUAAAGGCAAGGAGAGGAGCUUAUGUGAUUGGUGAAAACAGGUCUCGGCUGUGUUAAACCCCUAUACGCCCUCUCUCCUCCCCGUCUACGACUUAUGCUGCCGGGAACGCCUUGUCAGCGCGGCGGAUCUGAUUGACGCUGCGCUUGCGGCACGUCUUCGGCGAGGCACCAAAAUAGAGCCCUGAGUGUGUAGAAAUGGGAAUAUUUAGAGAAAUCAGCGAUCAAAUUUUAGACUGGAACACUCUCUCACUUACCUCUUUUUAAAGCUGCUCCACCAAGAAAACUGCUUUUAUGAAAUAUGAAUAUCUUUAAAUAUUUUAAUUAAUUUGGUUAAAAAAUUCAAGCUUCGUGUGUGUCAUUGGGUCCUGUACCAUGAUGGCUGUGUUUUAGUUGUAAGGGGUUUAUGGAUAUAGCCUUUUUAAUCACUGAAGUAAACUAAACUGCAGAAAAAUUAUGCACAAACAUGAGAGAAAUUCUGCGCCUGCAGAAAUAGGAUUUCAGCUCAAAAGAACAUCAUCUGCCCUUGGCCACACGCCAUCUGCAUCCAAGGACAUCAGCGCUCUCCUGAGAGAAGCUUUUGCUCUGCAGCCUGCCUGGUCCAUUCAUCCAUUACACAACUGUCAGAACAGCACAGUGGGAGUGCAACACUUUAAGGAAAUGGAUGAGAGGUGGACUCGUGUAAAAAAAAUGUGUUAUGAACAUUGUUUGACGUAAAUCACUACAAAUCAGAAUUUUAUCUGAAUGUUAUAAUCUGAAUUUGAGGGAGACUCAUUUGAAGUUCUGGAUAUCAGGUUUGUGGUUACAAGGCCAGGAAAGUAGAUGCACUGUGUUAGUUCUGAAAACAUGAAGAGAUUUAUUAUAAAAUAUUAGCCUUGAUGGAUAAGUGUAUGGAUGUUGUCAAAAACAUGAGUGAGGGAGAGUUUAUUGAUUAAUGCGAUCAGUAACACUGUUGGUAGUUUCUGAGGAUUAUGACAAAUCUUUCAGCUGCAUGCGAGUGCUGAGUGCUUGUAUGUUAGUAGGUUAAUGCACAACAGUGGAAAAAGCUAAACAAAAAAGCUAAAUACUACAGAGUGUGCCAACAAGUUGCAGACUUCAAGAGUACUCAGACAAAAACUACCAUACUUGCGUCUUCAUACAUACGUAUGAACAUAUGUAUGUACAUACAUACGUCUUCUACUACAACAACAUAUUCCAUUAACAGUCACAGUUUACACCCACUUAAUCAACAGUCUCUGCAAAGACAGACUUGAGAAUUGGCAGCACGUACUCUGACUGUUUAAGGGGCCAUAAAAACAAAGAAGGACAUCAAAGCUGUGAUAAAUGUAGAUCUGCCUUUACCAGCAUUUUGAAGACUGUUUUGUAAGCUUGUUGCUGGUCUAGUUCUUCUGUGAUCAGACUCAGAUAAUUCUGACAUCCAUCCCGUGUUACUAUCCUUUUCACGGCACACAGCUGAGGAAAAAUCAUUCUAAACACACUACACAAAAAUAUGGUACAAUAAUCUUUAGAGCCUUUGCUGAUUUGUGUUGAAAGAUGGGAGUCAGGCCCAGAAUCUGCCCUACUAUCUGGAAGUAUGCUAUGCUUCCUCCAGUAUUGAAGUAUUGAAACACAUUCAGAUAGUCUGCACAACAUUUUGUUUUAGUGUUAUUAUUUCUUGCCCAAUAAUAGUAAGAAUCUACAUGUUUAGAAAUCAAAGCCUCUUACUUUAUCCAACACUCUCUGGGUAGAAAGAAAAUCCACAUAAGAAUCAAAAACAACUGGCUAGGGAAGUCAACAAAAAACUCACUUACAAUAUCCUUGAGGAAAAAUAUAUUUUAUUUUUUAUUAUUUGUAGUUUUGUAUUUGCACAACAACCACUAUUAAAAACACAGUUCAUGAAUCUGGCUUUGCUUACUGCCAUAAAACAUUAAACAUUUAAACAAAUAAAAACUAAGAAAGAAAAACAGGGUAAAGAUGAAAAUGAAAAGGAAGAGGAAUAAUUCAAGAGAGAAUUACAUAAAUGCUUUUAAGAUUUGCAGGGGACAGAGAAUACUUUAAAUGUUUCACAUUCAUUCAAGUAUGAUUAGCAAAAAGGUAUUCUGUUCCAAACAUGAGAAUUUUGUGAUUAACAUGUCAUGCAUUUUACAAUAUGUAAAUCAUAUUCAAAUCACCAUGGUUUGCUCAUAUUUCUUUUGUAAAUGAGAUUGUGGGAAUACAGAUUCUGUCCUGUUCACUGAAAUUUCUGAUUAAGCUUCUUUUAAGCUUCUGCAGCAGUGACUAUGAAUCCUAUGAAAGGUGACGGAAAGGCUGCACAAAGAUUUAACAUCAUUAUCAGCAAUCGGACAAGUGAAGCAGACAGUUUUGACUGUGGACCCUCAGAUCCCAUCAGAGAACGCUCCAAUUACAAAGGUGCUGCAGGGUGUGAGGCUGAGGAAUCUUGGUGGGUUACACAGUCCACUGAGAUGAUUUGUGUCUGCAGUGGGUGUUGAGGGGCUAUGUCUUUGCUCGCUCAAGAGGGAGCUUGCAUGCAAGAUGUCUUGGUUUUAUUAAAAAGCGAUAUGCAUUAUGAUGUUUAUCAAGUUGGAACUUGAUAACGCACACACACACACACACACACACACACACACACACACACACACACACACACACACACACACACACAUAUAUAUAUGUAUAUAUAUAUAUAUAUAUAUAUAUAUAUAUAUAUAUACAUAUUAUAGGCCAAACAGUUGGGAGUAACUUCAAGUUUUUGUUCACAAUGCUUUUUUUAAAAUCCAGCAUGAGUUUUAUGUUUUUUGGGAUGUAUUUACUCCAUGGUCAGACGUUGCUUUCAUGGAAAUGCACCAUUUUACUCCAUUUACCUUUAGAUAUACAUUAAUGUGAACACACCAUUGCUAAAUAUAUGUCAGCAAAAGAAAAUAAGGGCUUAGUUGCGGGGUUAAAAACAUUUGCAAGAGUCACAACUUCAGUUCAAAAGCAACAAAACAAAUCACAGUUGGAUUAUUCACUUCAACUUUUUGGCUUCCGAGAGUCUGCAUACAAAAAUCCUAAUAAAUCUCAACUGCGUUCAAACUACCACAGAAAUGGCUAGAAAGAAGACACUGAGUAAAGAAACUAAAGUACAGAUUUGUACGUUGAGGAAAGAAGGAUACACAGAAAGAGAAAUUGCAAAAUGCCUAAAGGUGUCUAACAAAGGAGUCCACUACACUCUGAAGAGACUAGAGGAACCUGGAAGUUAUGGUGAUAAAAAAAGGCCUAGAUGAAAGAGAGUUACUACAAAAGCAGAGGAUAAGGGAGAAUUAAGGGAGAAAUUCAACAUGAUAAGGUCAAAACCCAUAUCUCUUACAACCUUGAAAUGACGUUUGAAAAAGGCUGGUCUGAAGGGUUGUGUAUCUGCAAAAAAAAAAAACCACUACUUCGUUCACGGAACAAAAAAAAGGGAAAUGUAUGGGCAAAAGCUCACAAAAAUUGGACUUAUGAUGACUAGAAACAAGUUUGAACUGUUUGGUUUAAAAUGCAAAAUCUGUCUGCAGACAAACUGGUGAACGUCUGAAAGCACCAUGUGUUAAACCCACAAUUCAGCAUGGAGGUGGUAGUUCCAUGGUAUGGGGAUAAUAUGCAGGUGAUGGAGUAGGAGAUUUGUUUGAAGUAAAGGGUAUCAUGGAGAAGGAACAGUACCAUUCCAUCCUCCAGCACCAUGCUGUUCCAUCUGGACUCAGACUUGUGGCUCAUAAGUUUGUUUUUCAGCAAGACAAUGACCCUAAGCACUCUGCCAAGCUCUGUCAGGGUUACCUAGACAAAAAAGAAGAGGAAGGUGUUCUUCAAAAGACGGUUUGGCCCCCUCAGUCUCCAGACCUUUCUCCAAUUGAGCUUGUGUGGGAUGAAUUGGAUCGAUCGGUCAGAAAAAUGCGUCCCACAAAUCAGCAGUCUCUUUUUAAUGAACUUAAGAAAGCUUGGAAUGCAAUCCCUGGAACAUACCUUAAAAAACUUGUGGAACGAAUGCCUGGUAUUUUCCAAGCUGUUGUUAAAGCCAGAGGAGGUUACUCUAAAGAAAGCAAAGUCUAAGCAACAAUUACUCAAAUACCUAAUAAUUAUAGUCAAAAUGUCUUCUGAUAAGUUACUCUUUACACAAUAGUCAUGUUUAUUGUGUUGCAAAUUAUAUGAAACUGUGAUCUUUUUUUUCUACAUAUCUGAUCUUGCCUCCAAACUUUUGGCCUGUAGUGUAUAAUCAUACAUAACCAACAAAGGCCGAGGGGAAGAUAGGGACUAUAUACACACACUGGGAAACGAGCAACAGGUGAGGCAGGUGAGACAAAGGUGAAACUCAGGCUGUGUCUCAUUUCAGAGACCGCAUCGGGCUAAGUACACUUCUGCACCGUCGAACGGUGCAUUUGAAGCGUGCAUGACGUCACGACGGCACGAACGGUAUCCCAUUUGGCACGAGAUGCUAAGAAAUGCUAAGCGCGCUUAGCAUUUUUUCAAGCGUGCAUUUAUGCACGCUUUCGUGCCGUCGGUAUCCCAGAAUUCUUUGCGUGCCACUGCACAGCUUCGCAUUUCAGGUGAGAGGCUGGACUCGCUUGGAGGCACAGCGCGUCUUCAAAGAAAAUACAAGAAAUCCAAAACAGCAGUCAGCUCAGGCUGUAUGAGAGCAUGAUCUCUUAACUCACUAAAAUCUGUAAACCAAACAUUAUAGAUUUAGACACGAACUGAUCCGCUCUGCUUCAACAAUCAAAAACAUUAGAAAUAAGAAAGCUGACAAAACUACAGCAGAGUAUCAGGACAUCAUUGAGUUUUUUUUUUUCUUUUAAAAUUUAGAGAUUAAAGUUGUAAAUUUAGGAGAAUAAAGUCAUAAAGUAUAAAAAGUCAUAAAGCUGCUUUUGUGGAGGGAGAAAUGACUGAAGCUGGUCAUCUGCAGGGUUAUCUGUGGAUGUAUCAGCAGGUCAUUCAGAGAGAUUUUGUGGUUUCUGAAGAAACAAACUGAUGAUCAACAUUUGUGAUCCAGAGGGAGUCGAGCUCAGACGAGCACCACGUCUCUGACACCGGCGGUAACCUACACCUGCAGAGACACCAACACCUUAUUAUGGCAUAUGGAUUUAUAUCAUAAACUAAAGCUCAAUACCAUUCACGGAUAUUUACGGCUGCAUUGACAGAUAUAUCCUCAGCAUAUUCAUUUCUGCCUCCACAAAAGCAGCGAUUUCCUUCAAGUACACCAGUUUUUUUCCCCGUGGAAAAGACGUAUUUCUCAUAUAUUCUUUAUACUUAUAAGUCUUUAUACUUAUGACAAUGUGAUGCUGAUGUGCCAAAGGAUGAAGUAUCUCUUUGUUUGUGAAACCUAUACUGAAGCACAGUUCCUUCAAAUGCUUCAUGGCCCUAAUUUUAACAAGUCUCCUCUGAAAUAACAGGUUACGACUUCAAUCUCAUAAAUUAAUGACUUUAUUCUCGUAAAUUCACGACUUAAAUCUCGAAGUCUUUAAAAAAAAUUCUCAAUAUAGCCCUCAUACAAAACAAUCAUUGGAUUAAUUUUGUGGGAAUGAUCUGUGCUUGUACAGUAUGUAUCUAUUAUUUUGUGUCUGUGCAAGGUCGCACAAUUAAAACAAUACAUGCUGCGCUCUGCAGCUUAUUUUCUAGUCAGUCGUGACGUAAGCCUGAGGGUGGGGACAUUUGGAGACCUUUGGAGGACUUCCUGGUGGAGUCACCAAAUGUCCCCGCCCUCAGGCUCGCGUCACGACUGACUUAAAGAAAACCAGCGGAGCGCAGCAUUUAUUUUUUCAUUGUGCGACCUCGCACAGACACAAAAUAGGAGAUACAUAGAAGCACAAUUAAUCAAAUGAUUGUUUUGUAUGAAGGAGUAUGAGGGCCAUAUUGAGAUUUAAGACUUUAAAGACUUCGAGAUUUAAGUCGUGAAUUUAUGAGAAUAAAGUCAUUAAUUUAUGAGAAUAAAGUUAAAAGGUUCCCUGUUAUUUCAGAGGAGACUUGUUAAAAUUAGGGCCAUGAAGCAUUUGAAGGAACUGUGCUUCAGUAUAGGUUUCACAAACAAGGAGAUACUUCAUCCUCUGGCACAUCAGCAUAACAUUGUCAUAAGUAUAAAGACUUAAAAAAAGAAUAUAUGAGAAAUACGUCUUUUCCACGGGGAAAAAAAACUGGUGUACUUGAAGGAAAUCGCUGCUUUUGUGGAGGCAGAAAUGAAUAUGCUGAGGAUAUAUCCGUUUAUGCAGCCGUAAAUAUCCGUGAAUGACAUUGAGCUUUAGUAUAUGCCAUAAUAAGGUGUUGGUGUCUCUGCAGGUGUAGGUUACCGCCGGUGUCAGAGACGUGGUGCUCGUCUGAGCUCGACUCCCUCUGGAUCACAAAUGUUGAUCAUCAUCAGUUUGAUUGUUUCUUCAGAAACCACAAAAUCUCUCUGAAUGACCCGCUGAUACAUCCACAGAUAACCCUGCAGAUGACCAGCUUCAGUCAUUUCCCCCUCCACAAAAGCAGCUUUAUGACUUUUUAUACUUUAUGACUUUAUUCUCCUAAAUUUACAACUUUAAUCUCUAAAUCUUAAAAGAAAAAAAAAACUCAAUGAUGUCCUGAUACUCUGCUGUAGUUUUGUCAGCUUUCUUAUUUCUAAUGUUUUUGAUUGCUGUAGCAGAGCGGAUCAGUUGUCUCUAAAUCUAUAAUGUUUGGUUUACAGAUUUUAGUGAGUUAAGAGAUCAUGCUCUCAUACAGCCUGAGCUGACUGCUGUUUUUGGAUUUCUUGUAUUUUCUUUAAAGACGCGCUGGGCCUCCAAGCGAGUCCAGCCUCUCACCUGAAAUGCGAAGCUGUGCAGCGGCACGCAAAGAAUUCUGGGAUACCGACAGCACGAAAGCGUGCAUACAUGCACGCUUGAAAAAGGGGCGGGGGUAGUGUGGUUUUGAGACCGAAUUUUAAGCGUGCUUAGUAUUUUGUGCCAAACGGGACACCGUUCGUGCCGCGUGAUGACCUCACGCACGCCUCAGAUGCGCCGUUCGACGGUUGCGGUCUCUGAAAUGGGACACAGGAAGGGUACAUAACGGCGCAAAACGGCAGUGCACUCAGCUAAGCGCCUUUAAGCGCACUUAUCCCGAUGCGGUCUCUGAAAUGAGACACAGUCACAGUGAUUAACAAAGGAGGGAAAACUAGGGAAGUAAAACUAGACUAGAAACACAAAGAAUCAACUACUACAAAAUAAAACAGGAAAUAAACACUGAACACUGAUCUAAAGAAUAAAACACUGAGAACAGAAAGGAAAAAAGGGUCAAAGACAAACUGAAAACUCACAAGUCUGGACUACAGGGGCAGAGGAACAAUGGGAAACAGGAACAAUAGGGAAAAUACACAAAAUGCACUCAAAUAAAACCUGGAGAAAACUAAAUAAACAGAACAUAUCAUGACACUUUGCAUAAAUAUGGUGAGGACAUCAGGUGAAAAAUGACACUUCUGCCAGAGCCUGGCAUUCCUGCUGUUAUAUCCAAAUGUUUAGCUAAAGUUGUAUUUCACAUCAAACUGAUUUUUGCCCUUUAAGUUUAAUUAAAACCUCUGUCCAAAUUAAGCAAUAAAUAAAUACAUCAAUAAAAAAUCACAACAAUCAACUUUUAUCGAGUCAUCAGGGUGUUCUUUUUUAUGAAGCAAAACUUUAAACUAAAAGGUUUUUUUAUUUUAUUUUAUUUUUUUCUAAGAUCUCAUUAGUAACUAAAAUCCUUGAGGAAAAGACCUCCUUCUGCUCACCUCGGUUGAUAUCAUGGAGGCUGACUCCUCAUUGCAGCAGCAGGGUUGAGUCUGUUCUCUUUGCUGGAUGCUGCCCUCUCACCCCUUCUGCUUCUCUUCUGCUUUCAUUGAAGAAAAGCACAACAGCCCCCAAAAUAAUAGAAAAAGACUGCACAUGAAAUACACAGACAUCAAAGCUAACAUUCAUCCUGCCUUUUCUCUACUUGAAAAGACUUUCUAAAAAGUACAUCUGAUGAAAUACACAUUGCGUAGGAGUGCAGGUUCACAGAAGAGAGUCAUUACUCUGUCUGGCAUGAUGACUAACCCAAUCACAACAGAUUUUAGGUGUGUAUUUACUCUGGUCCCCUGUCUGUCUGCACCACAAAGCACAAGAACUGAGAAAAGAGCUCUCUCACCUGGAUGUCAGUGUGUCUGCAGGUAGAGGGAGAGGCCACCUCAGGUUCGGAAACAGAGAGGAACAAAUUAAGAGAAAAGAGGAUGCUGACAGGGUCAGGCACAGAUAUGUUUGGGAGCUGUCUUGAUGUGAAAAAGAGGAGGGCACAAAAGAGGGAACAACUCUUCUGAGCUCUGACCACACAAGAACCAGCCUCAGAGUGAAGUAUCUGUCUCCUCUUCAUAAUAUCCAAACAGCACUCAGGACUUACAAAAAGUGCUUGAAGGUGUUUGUGAUCCCAAGACUAAAAAUACCAAAGAGAGAAAAAAACAUGCAUGUUGACCUCAGUAAUUUUACUGUGAGCCAGUGUUGUCUGAACUGUCAAAUCUAAGGACUCAAAUUUCAAAAACGAACACCAAUCCCAAAAUUAGAAAGAGCAAAUAGAGUUGCCAUCCUUGUUGCUAAGGAACAGGUCCUUUUUAAACCUGUCCCCAGUUAUAAUGAGCUGGGCACAGGUAACGAUCUCUUACUGCACUAAGGUCAGCAAGCUUUAAAAGCAGAUCCACAGAAGCAGAACAAACACAGGUAAAGCAAGCUGCAAAGUGCUACAGGAGAGUAGUUAUUUGAGGAACGGAAAAAAAGGGGGCUUCAAAAAUCUAAAAUCAAAGUCAGUCAAUACAGAUGUUGAAGCCAACUCUUGCAGCUACUAAAGUAGUGUCUAUGAACAAAAUGCAUGUGCUACAAACUAGCUUACAAGUUCUAACUUCAAGCUAAUAUUUUCAAAUGACUGAAUAAGUGGCACAGCCUAAAAUUAAAAAAAAUUUUAAAAAGAAAAAAACAUGUCACUAGAAUCUAGAUGGGCAAAUGAGGAUAAGAAAGAAAAACAGGGUAAAGAUGAAAAUGAAAAGGAAGAGGAAAAUUGAAGAUAUAUUUUGUUAGUCAGUUUUUGUAAGUUUGUGGGAGCUAUUUUUGUCAAGGUUGGAUUGCCACUGUAGCACACAUAUUUUUAAGUCAGUUAGUAUUUUUUUCCAAUAGAGAAGAGACAUUAUUUCUAUCAUUAUUUCUAAAACUUGUCAUGAUGAAAUGUGACAAAAUGUCGUCACUCCGUUAUGUCUUAAUUUUUUUAAACUUUUAUGAUCUGUUUUAGACAAAAUAAACUAUGUUCAACAUCAAAUUUCAUUCUUUCAAGAACAUAUUAAGCUUAUCUACUCAGCAUUUUCAUCCCCCUUAUUAAACAUUUUAAUAUAUUCAUUAAGUAACAUUUUAACAUAUCUAAAAACAUACUGACAUGAACUUGUCUGAAAUGACGCAUUUUAAACAAGGCUACACAAUGUUGUUCACUUUGUGAGCAAAAGGACAUGAGAGUCACUUAGUGCACCAAGAAAAAUGAUACCAUGGAGAGGACAGGAAAGCCCUCUGGCUACUAGACUUAAGUCCCUGUAUGCUGAAAAAGGCCCAGUACACCAAAGGGUUGUAUUUCGAAGAGCUAGUACUCUGUAUUGGAGUGUACAGGUCAACUGAAACUCUGUUAACCUAAGUAGGUCUGCCAACAUAGUCCAAAAAAGUGUAUUUGGUUUGACUAUACAUUAAGUUGAUAUUUAUAUCUAGACCAGUGUGUUUUAUUUCACCUUGAUGAGGUUAGACUGCAAACUUCCAGCAGUCUUCCUCAUGAAGAGUCGUGUGACUUUGUAGGCAAAUAUCACUGUAGUGCAGACUGUAUGUUUCAUACUGUGAGUUAUACAUCAUGUAGUAGCCAAAUGCCUUAAAAAAGGUUUCUCCUUUUUUCCUUCCUUGUGUCUGUUUGUUUAAAGGGUUUCCUUUUCCCAGUCAUCACACGCGCAAACUUUCAAAAAACAAAUUCUUGGAGAGCUGGAUGAAGUUGCCUUGUUUUUUAUUGUAAAGGUAAAUACGUAAAUGAAUGAAUAACAUAGAUUAUUUAAACAAUAAAUCACAGCUUGAAAGCCUGCGGUCAAUGACAAUUUGAGCUGUGAGCCAUCAUCUGUCCAUGUGUCAGCUGCUCCUAAUUAUAGGUGAGUGCACCCUCACCACCUGCGGCGAGAGCAGACACAAUUCAAAAAACAAAAUUCAACUAUGUAAAUAAAAACUCCAAUGUGGCUCCUACACACCACUUCACAAAUUCCUGCAUCUACACAGCUGUAAACACACACACACACACACACACACACACACACUUAAUAUUUUCUUGUGUCAUUCAUAUAACUGACUGUAUCGUCUGACACACACAAACACACACAUGCACAAACACACAGUAUUUUCUCAGUCAUUCAUACAUACUGACCAUCUCUCUUGACACACACACACACACACACACACACACACACACAUGCACUCUCACACACCCUGCGAUUAAGCCCACCAUGUGUUUCAGGGAUUAGGUUGUGCAUAUCUAAAGAGGCACGCCAUACCAUCUGUGCAGGGACUAAACAACCUUACCUCCUGACACACACACACACACACACACACACACACACACACACACACACACACACACACACACACACACACACACACACACACACAGUGGAGUCUGCUCUUAAUCGCUUGAGUGUACACUUCUUUAAUUGAGUUUCAAGAGGGAAUAAAAAACAAUAGCAUGAAUGUUGCCCAUGUUUGCAUGCUAAAUGAUCAUUAUGUACAUCACUGUGCACGUGCACGUGACUCUACAUGUGCAAUCAAAUUGAUAACGCAUCAACACACAGCAGGGACUGUGUAGCAUGGCUUAAGUUUAGUCUGCAGGCUGUGUUUGAUUUAUUUGUGCUGAUGGAGGGUACUGGAGAGUGUAUUUGAUUUACUAAUGCAUUUUUAUGUGUGUAUUAUACUGCCAGCAGUGUACUGCAGCAUAAAUUAAUGUACAGGACAGAUGGCCUCUUUAUGUGCUUGACUCUGUGUGCAUGUAUACGUGUAAGUGUUUGUGGUUUUAAAAUUUCCUAUGUUGUUGUUUGAAGUGAGUUUAUCAUUUUUUGACUCUGAAAAUACUCACACAUCGGGUGCUCUUUUAACCUAUUUUUUCAAGACAAAACUCUAACCUCCCCUUUUUCUGAAUUUUAAAUUAUAAUCAAAGUUUCUAUUCAAUCAUUUUUUGACUCUGAAAAUACUCACACAUCGGGUGCUCUUUUAACCUAUUUUUUCAAGACAAAACUCUAACCUCCCCUUUUUCUGAAUUUUAAAUUAUAAUCAAAGUUUCUAUUCAAACUACAAAUGAAUCCUGAUGCUUAUAUUUGUGUACUACAAGUUUGGGCCAUUACAGCAUAGUAAAUUUAUCACACUGGUCGUAAACGUUGAUUUUGCACCUUUUGAAAUUAUUUUUACACCAUUCAAAGAACUAAAGUGCAUGGACUUAAGUUCACAUUGCAAAGAAAAUGGCUGCAUGGUUGACCACACUUCGCUCAUUAGCAUGUUAGGUUCAGGGUGCAAAGAGAUUAGACCAAGUUCCUCUAUUGUUUAAAGGUGCUUUUUGGUAACGUGAACCAAAGUGGUUGGUGUGGCUGCUUUCAUUCAAUAUAUGUGUCAGGUGUGCCUCCUGAGUUUAGCACUUAAGACUCUAGCUAGCUCUUAAGACUUCUCUCUUUCUAUUAAUCCUCUCAACAUGCAGAAAAGACACCUAGUCACAAUCAGGGAAUUUCAGCAUUAACAGGUGUGCAGCAUGACUUCAUUUUUUUAAGACUUUGGACACAUGCUGACCUUGUUAGAUAGGAUCCAUUUAUAAACAACGUCCACAGAAAUCAUUGUUAAAAUCUCACAUGAACACUCUGCAUCAAAAGAAAAUCAGAGUGUUACAGACUAUAUGUCAUACUGCAAACAUAAUACAUGGUUACCUUCUAAUUAAUGUGGAGGAAGCACUAUGGUCAGUGGCAUUGAGAGUUGUGGUGUAGUUUGUGUAGCUUGUGUCUGUUGGUCUUGUAUGAACUGUGUGCUUUGUGACAUCUCAGGCUGCUGUAAUCUGAUUUAGGCUCAAGCCAAAAACAUACCAGAUCCAUAUUGAGCGUGUUCAGUAUUUGUUCAGUAGAGCAGCAUUAGGUAUCUCAUACAGGAUGUGUAUUUGGAGCGUGGCAGCAGCAUAGUGCGGCCCCGGUCAGCUGGGCUCAGUAUAGAGGAAACAACAUGCUCAAAACAGGUUGUUUCGCCUUACUGUGGUGUAUUUCCUGCUAAUCUGGAUAUAAUUCAGUGACCGCUGAGCCUCUACUAUAUGUGGAAAAAGCAACGUGAUUUUACAGUUUCGGUUUUUGCAGGUUUACUUGUGUUUAUUAAAGUAAACUAUGUUCCUUUAUGAAGUGCUGUUACCUUUAGACAGAGUUAGCAGUUAAAAGUCCUGUUGGGGUCCAAAUGGUUCAGGGAUUGUCCAUCAGAUUGUUCUGUGUUAUUGAUAAAUUCAUAACCAGGAAGUAUUUCUCAUCAACAAGGACUGAUACACAGUCGUGAGUUUACAUACAGUGUUUAAUUUUGAAAUACCGAAUGAUAUGCAUGGUUUUUGUGCUUGACUCUCUAUCUGGAACGAUUUUCUCUGUGUGGAUUGACGUGCAUUGGAGGCGUAGAGCAGCAAAAAAAGACUCGCCGCGUAUCUUUAGCAGUGCUGCUCUCGAUACGGUGGUGGAUGGAGCGUCCUGUAUGCUUUGCUGCAUUGAUUAGAAUGGCAACCUAUUUUCUGCGUGAUACGUGACACUGCUGCCACACUCCAAAUACGCAUCCUGUAUGUUUUAGCCUUUAGGUGAAACAGGUUUAUGAAUGUUAGAGGAGCCUGUCCUCUUAUUUUAGUAUCUCUAACCUCUUAUACCUAAACAGCAUCACUUGAAACUUUAGACCAGGUUUUUUUUGUUUGCAGUGAUUUCCUCUCUGAAAUCAGACCCACAAUCUGAAAAUCUUUGGCUGAUAUCCUCUUGCAUUCGAGGUUUGCGAAUAAUGUCAAUGAAGCAACUUUGAUAAACUGAUACCUUGUCUGGGUGGUAGGGCUGUUAGUUAUCAGGCUUUUCUCUACUGGAUUCAUCUGCCUGUCGGGGUGCAGGGGCAGACACCCUCUCUGAUUUGAAGAGCAGGUUGGAGCUGGUUUAGGUUUGAACCAUCACUUAGUUUAUUAUGCUACAGGCUCAGACUGCUAUCGACUUAGGGCCAAUCCCAAUCCGGCUGUUAAGCUGUGACGUAGCCGCGUUCUCUUUUUCCACUUCCGGGUCCAGCGGAGUUGUUGUUAUAAUGCCUCAGUGCUAUGUCCCUUGCUGCUUAAACUGAUCAGAGACAAAAACAGCGACUAAACUAUCAUUCUACAGAUUUCCUCCCAACAACAAAGACAACAAAAUAACUUCAUCAUUUCUGUAUUGUAUCCAUAGACUGUAUACAGUCUAUGAUUGUAUCACAAACACACGGCAUCACAUCCAUUCAUUCAUUGAAUUCAAAGCUUCGCGCACCAAAGCCUCGGGGUGUCUUUGGUUUAUCGUUUUACAUUUAUAGUCCACUUGAUGGCGCAAUAGAGCAAAUGAAGCACGAUCAUGAAGCUUCGGCCCAUGAGGCGAGUAAUUGGAUGGAAAGCUUCGAUGCUUCAUGAGGCUUCAUCUCGCCAUCACUAAAAUUUACGUUAAUAAAUCUAUCCGAGUUGAAAGCUUUAAGUCCCUUUUUAACUCUGAGUGGUUCCCUUCUGAAAAAGGACGUUAUUUUAAAGAGAUUCACGGGUUCCGCCAUUGUUGUUUUGAAUGGAGAGUGAAUGGAGGCUGAUUCCCCAUGGACCCAGAAGCCGCUCCACUCACAAAAUGACGUCACGCUUAACAGCCGGAUAGUCACUCUUUCCCCUUCCCCUUCCACUUCGUCUUACCCCUUUGUCUACCCCUUCCCCUUGACCCUGAAAACAGAGUGAAAACAAGCUCCUAAGAAACGAGGCGCCACUCGAUUCCUGCUACAUCAUCAUACUUUGCUGUUUGCAGUGAAUUUGCCACCCGAGUCUGACAUCAGUGUAGCUAUCAAUAGCUAUAGUCUCAUAAGCUAGCUCAUCAUAACUCACGAUUUUAAAACGCAAACAAUUCAAAACAUCACUAAUAUUUGCACUACUGAAAAUUGUUAAUGACCUUAGGUGCAACUUGGACUCACACAAGCUUACAGUCCUUGUGCUACUGGAUCUAAGCGCUGCUUUUGAUACAGUAAAUCACACAAUUCUUUUAAAUAGACUUAGGCACCUUGUAGGCCUCUCUGGUACUGCCUUUCAAUAGUUUAACUCCUAUCUCACAUAUCGAAAGUUUCUUGUAAGUUUGGACAUAUGCUCUUCAAAGAUUCAUAGCAUUAAAUGUGGUGUGCCCCAAGGCUCAAUUUUAGGCCCCAUACUUUUUAAUUUAUAUAUGCUCCCACUGGGAGAUAUCACCAGGACGCAUGGUAUCACUUUUCACAGCUAUGCUGAUGACACAUAGCUCUACAUAUCCAUGUCUCCUGAUGACACAGGGCCAAUCGAUGCCCUUUUUAGCUGUAUCCUAGACAUUAAAUUCUGGAUGGCAGAAAACUUCCUACAGCUCAACCAGGACAAAACUGAGGUUUUAAUUAUCGACCCUAAGGCUCAGGGAGAGAAACUUUGGACAAAACUGAAAACCCUGUCUUUAAUUCCAUCAAAUCAGGUAAAGAAUCUGGGCAUCAUCUUUGACUCUGAGCUGACUUUUAUUCCACAUAUUAAAAAUAUAACAAAAACAGGGUUUUAUCAUCUAAAGAAUAUAGCCAGAGUCCGCCCCUUUCUCUCCCGGACUAACACAAAGACGCUAAUGCAUGCUUUUAUCUCUAGUCGUCUUGACUAUUGUAAUGCCCUGCUUUCUGGUCUUCCAAAAAGAAACAUUGCAAGUUUAUAACUGUUGUAAAACUCAGCAGCACGUGUGCUGACGAGGACCAGAAGGUGGGCACAUAUUACACCGGUUUUAAAAUCACUGCAUUGGCUCCCUGUGUGCUCUAGGAUUGACUUUAAGGUCCUUUUAAUGGUUUUUAAAUGUCUUAGGGGUCCUGGACCGUCUUAUCUUUAAGAUUUGCUUUUACAACAUGAACCCUCGCAGACCCUGAGAUCCGCUGGCACUGGCCUUUUAAUAGUCCCCAAAGUGAGAACACAAACUUACGGUGAGGCAUCUUUCCAGCACUAUGGCCUCCAUCUUUGGAAUAGCCUGCCGGAGGACCUUGGGGCCGCAGAGAAUGUUCAUAUUUUUAAAAGCAGGCUCAAGACCCACCUUUUUAAUUUGGCUUUUAACUAAUGUAUUUAUUUAAUGUAUCUUAUAUUUAAUCUAUAUUUUUAUCCUAUUUUGAUCUUAUUUUAUUUCAAUUAUAUAUUUUAGUCCUCAUUUUACAUGUUAUGUUUAUUCGAUUUUUUCAAUUAUUUUUAAAUGAUAUUUUAGCUAUUUAUUAGUAUUUUAUAAUUUUAUCUAGUUUAAUGUUUUUAGCUGGUUUAGUUUAUGUUUUUAUUGCAUUUCUCCAGUGUUUCCUCAGUAAGGGGGCCACCUGCACUGGAGGCUGUGACUGGCUCUGUCUAGGGUUUCUCUGCCUUGCGAUGUGCACUCAGCUCGGCCAGGUGGUGGUCUGCAGCAGUGCUUGCUGCUGUGGGCCUCUUACUGGCCUGUAGCAGGGUGCGCACCCAAGUGGAGGUGUCUGGCCCUGGGCCGUGAGCGGCCUCCUGACGUUUCCUGACUUGGCUCCACUGUACUCAGCCGCAUGUUUUUAAGAUAACAUUAUCUGUGUGUGUGUGUGUGUGUGUGUGUGUGUGUGUGUGUGUGUGUGUGUGUGUGUGUGUGUGUGUGUUGGGGUGGGCUCUCGGUGAGGGUUGGGAGGGUGGGGUGGUGGGCUGGAUAUGGGGGGGCUCAUUGUUUUAAAUUGUAAAGCACUUUGUGCUGCAUUUCUUUUUGCCUGAAAAGUGCUAUAUAAAUAAAGUUUGAUUUGAUUUGAUUUACAUGGAGUAGCAAAGGAUUGAAUAUCUAAGUGUCCCUACUGUAUAAAUCAUAUCAAAAUCUUAUCCCUGGCUUUCAAGUGAGGUCCUGGUAUGUCUUCGUUUUAAGGGCUGUGUACCCCUUGACCUGAGCCCUUUCCUUUAACCUUACAGAGAACUGGGACACCCCUUCGCUUGAUGUGAACGCGCAAAACUGAGGGCUAAGGGGUACAAAUGGGGAUUGACUCCUUAGUCUCCCCAGGGAACUGGUACAUUAAGCUCCUGUUUUGCCCUCUCUGUCCUCUAGUUUAUGUGUCACAUACUUUAAAUCUGUAAGUCCUUUUUAAGUCCCUGACCACAGAUCUUUCUGGGUGUCCUUAAGCUCCCUUGUCUUGUUGGUUCCUCUGGAUUGCUGCUGCAGAUAUCCUGCUGAUGUGGACCUGCUGACUUUCUCACAUUUAUUACUACCAUUGUAAAGUUAAUGUUAAACUGUGUUAGACACUUUGCACCUGCUGUUUUUGUAGAGUGGUUUGGUGUGACGUCUUAUGUUAUAUAAAUUUAAUUUUUCUCUUGACUGGCUGACCUAAAUUGAUGGGGCCUUGUUUCUUACAUGUUACAGUAUAAGAACUUCUGUGAGUAUAGUUUUGGAUAGGAUAAAUGUGAAAUUAGCGAAGUCAGCGGCCAUAGUUCAGUGUCUCCCGGGGGCCAGAGCGGGCGACAUCGAAGGUAGUUUAAAACUGCUGGCAAAGGCUAAACGUAAAUUCCGUAAGAUUGUAAUACAUGUCGGCGUAAAUGACUCCCGACGCCGCCAGUCGGAAGUCACUAAAUUGAACGUGGAAUCGGUGUGUGAAUAUGCCAAGACCAUGUCGGGCUACGUAGUUUUCUCUGGUCCCCUGCCCGAUCAGACAACUGAUGAGAUGUGUAGCCGUAUCUCAUCAUUCAACCGCUGGCUGUCGAGGUGGUGUCCACAAAACGGCGUGAGCUUCAUUGAUAAUUGGAAGUCAUUUUGGGGCAAGCCUGGUCUGAUUAGUCGGGACGGCAUUCAUCCCACCCGAGAUGGAGCGGCCCGUUUAUCCAGAAAUCUGGCCGAUUUUAUUAAUCCGAACCACUGACAAUUCAAAGCAGAGAUCAGGGAGCAGGGCCGCAGUCUUACACGCCCCCCUGCGCCUCUUUUAGAGCAGCCUCCCAGCCACUACCACUUAUACACAGAGACAAGGGAGCAGAGCCGCAGUGUAAAACGCCCUUCUGUACUCCCUUCAGAGCAGCUUCCAAGCUACAAUCAGCUUGACUUAGAAAUCAGGGAGCAGAGCCACAGUGUAAAACGUCCCUCUGUACUCCCUUCAGAGCAGCUUCCAAGCUUCUCUCAGCUUGACAUAGAAAUCAGGGAGCAGAGCCACAGUGUAAAACGUCCCUCUGUACUCCCUUCAGAGCAGCUUCCAAGCUACUCUCAGCUUGACAUAGAAAUCAGGGAGCAUAGCCACAGCUCUACACGUUCCUCUGUACUUUUGUUAGAGCAGCCUCCUAGCUACUGUCACUUUAAUAUAGAGACUGUGUCUGUCCCUCGUACUCGGCUCUCAAAUUCUAACCGAUCAAUUAAAAAAGGAGUAAAUAACAAGAACCUUACUAGAAUUAAGACUGUUAACAUAGCUGAACCAAGUACUAGUAAGAUAAAAUGUGGCCUACUGAAUAUAAGGUCUCUAAAUUCAAAAUCUGUGUUAAUAAAUGAACUAAUCUCUGAUCAUCGCAUUGAUUUACUCUCCCUAACCGAAACAUGGCUGCGUAAGGAUGAAUAUGUAAGUUUAAAUGAAUCCACUCCUCCUAGCCACCUAAACUUUCACAUUCCUCGAGACUCUGGCCGAGGUGGUGGAGUUGCAGCUAUCUACAAUUCCAGUCUUAGAAUUAACCCAAGACCAAAACUAGAUUAUAACUCUUUUGAAAGUCUCGUUCUCAGUCUCCCGCACCCAGCCUCAAAGUCCAUGAGACCACUGGUAUUUGCUAUAGUUUACCGCCCUCCGAGCCCAUACUCUGAGUUUUUGUCAGAGUUCUCAGAGUUCCUAUCCGAAUUAGUCCUUCUCGCAGAUAAAGUCAUCGUCGUCGGUGACUUUAAUAUUCACAUAGAUGUGGAAAAUGAUAGCCUAAGCAUUUCUUUUCGGUCCUUGCUAGAUUCAAUUGGGUUUACACAGUGUGUACAUAGACCUACGCACUGCUUUAACCACACUCUCGAUCUCGUCCUGGCUUAUGGCCUCGAAACCGAUGCCCUGUUAGUCAGCUCAUUAAAUCCUCUAUUAUCUG
rnacentral:lncRNA from 1 species